GGUGUUCUUCUUUACAAUGUCCAAGUGCUGUAUAUACAUCGAGUGGCUUCUAUUCAUACUCUGGCUGGACUUUUUUGAUCCCAAACAUGGCGAAAGUUGAUUUACAUCUUUGAUUGGGUUCUUGGUACAUGGAGGUAAUUUUGUUCCAGGUGUCCUGGGGGGGCUUGUAGGCUCGCGCGUACAGAACUUGACUUGCUUUGUGGUGGAAUAGUUUUGGGAGAUUAGCAUCGUGUACUCUCUUUGGUCUAAAUGUUGUAUCAUGUACAUCACAUUUCACUCAUCUAUCAGAGAAAAUUUCUUAAAUCCUAGAGCCUUACAUUUUUCUUGCAUAUGACCUCAUGGUUUUGUUUGACUGUUUCUGCAAAUUAUGCUGCUCAGUUGGUGACUGUGGAAAAACUUCCUUCCAAGUUUUUCAUGCUUGAGAUGCAAUUGAGAGGCUCUAAUUGCAUCGCUGUUCAACUGCAGCAGAGAUUAAUGUUCUAAUGGAUGGAUGAUCAAUGUCCCAGGUACAUGCUUCCAUCUUUAUAGCAUAUCUUUAGAAUUGUUUCCUUUUCUUCCUUAUGCACAUAUUCUCUCGGUGCUGGUCAAUCUGAUUUUUUGAUAUCCAAUGCUAGGUUUGUAGCCAGUUUGAUUUCUGAAUCACUUAUUGUUUUUUUUAAGCAAAAGAGGGGCCUCUCCCUCCGAUUGCAUAUAAAGAAAUCAUAUGGUCUGAUUACAAACUACUACUACCCAAAAGAAAACCGCAAGAACCAACAACCAACAUCCAGGACUAGGUCCAUUACAAAACUGGAGGUACGAUGAACUACCAGCUCACAACAUGAACAUAACAUGAUCCAUGACCUACUAGCUGAAACUAUAGGAUCUCCAUCUGUCAACCACCUAUCCGAAGAACUCCCGGCCUCCACCCUUGCGACGCCCUGUAGACUUCAUUUGCUAGUCACUCGACUAACUUUGCUCCCGUCUUCAGUGACCUUGUUUCUGGCUCAUUUGUCUGCAAAAUUGACAAAUCAGCAAUCCACGAAAACAUCAGCCUCACAAGGAUUAAAGGAUUAUUGAUAGUUUUUCUUCCAAAUGUAACGUCAUGUCUACAUCUCCAGAUAGUCCAAAACAUAGCAGCAACACCAACCAAAACAAAGUUUCUUAUCAUGUUUAGGAAACAAUCUGAUCCAUCUACCCAAGCAAUCAGUGAGCAAUUAUGAGUAGAAUCUAGAUCAAAAGCACAUUUCAUCAGGCUCCACAUCAGGCUCCACAUCAACACCUAGCAGCCAAACAAGUAAAAACAAAUGGUCAAUAGACUCAUCCUGACCACAAAAGGCGCAACCCUUAUUACCAUUGCAGCCCCUUUAAAGCAAAUUAUCUUUAGUUAAAAUGCCUUUUCUAGUCACGAGCCCCAUAAAGAUUUGAUGUUAGCUGGGACGAAUCAGUUAUUGAUACGAAUUUUGGAGUAAUUUUCCUCUAGGAAAUACGUUCGAUGGUCUUUUAAACUGUUUAUAUCUGCUUUUGCAUGUCUACAUGAAUAUACAAGUUCCUGUGCGAGCCCUAUCAUUGCGGAUGCGAUGCUGCUGAAUAAAUCCUGUGUGGUUGAGAAAGCCUUGCAUCUUCCCAUUCAUGGCUCACACCCUCCUCCACAUCAUUUCAGGAACGGAAGGACUUCCCUGGGCUUGUGUGAUUAUUAGUGUACAGUGCAUUAACAGCGGCUUGGAUCCAGAGCUUCCUGUACAUCCCAUCCAUGCGGGUGCACUGUGAUCUAACCGGCCGAUCUUUGUAGUUUUCCUAUCAUCCCCCUGUUUUGUUGGGGCGCAUGAUCCAUGUUCAGGUAUGUAUGGAUGAACAUCGCUGUUGUCAUUUUUGGUGCAUCGAUCCAUCCCGUCCGGAUCUGGGUCAGGUCAUGUCGAUCAGGUCCCCUUCUGUUUCCUGCCAACGACUCCAUUUUCAGCAGCAGCGGCGGCAGCUGUGCAACAGCCAGCAACUGAAUUUUGCAGGUGGUGUGAUGGGUCACCAUGUGGAGGUGGAGCUCCUUUUCCCCGUGGUCCGCUUGUACUCCUAGCGUAUUUAUUUAGCUGAAGGACCAUGUUUUUCUUUUUUGAAAAGUCUAAAGGAGAAUGCUUCCUGGGUGUGGUGGUUUCAGUCUCUGCCUGUCAAAGCCUGCGUUGUCACUCAAGGGUGGUAUCAUAUCAUAUGUGCAGAUGGGAAUGUGAGCGUCGCGGUUGCGAAGGGGAACGAGUCCCUCUUAUCUUGCGGAUUAGUGGUUGGUGCGUGAUGAUGGAUUGCUUGGUUGGCUGGGCUUGGUCCUUGCUGUGUUGGUUAAUUGAGCUGGUGGUUUGAGGUUGUCUGCGUCUCUGAUUGUUCAGUGACUUGCUGGGCUGGGUGCAGGCUGGGAAAACAAAAGGUCGACGUGCCUACAACGAUCGAUCGGAUCCCUACUACUUUUUCUUUCAUGAAAACGAAGCAAAAGACUUGAGUCGCAACCGUUAUCGACAUCACCAGUUGCCUCCGAAUAGGCAACUUCGACUUCACCGUAGAUCAUUAUCCCUUCAUCAUCGAAGCCAAGAUCUCCAUUAUCCCUCCAUCAUCGAAGCCAACCCGCAAACAGCCGCAUAGAAGCCACAACGACGCAUGCCAACACGCGCGAGCAACUGACAGCUCUGACUUUGACGAUGAGCAUUGCAGAGGAAAUAUGCAGGACUUGCGCCGACCAUGUCCUUCACAACGGACCAUCGAGUGCCUGUCAACGUCACGACCUCAGGUCCUCCGCCACAGCUAUGACUUCAAAGGAACCAAGCAACCCACAGAAGAGCACCUUGGACACGCGGGGAAGAACUGACUACCGAAGUCCACACCGCGAUCAAGCUCCUCUUGACGCCAUCAUCAUUGCCAAAACAGAAACCAACGCCCCGCCUCAGCAAACCAUGCAACUAAGAUGCUGCCAUCCAUCGGUCUUCCAGGCAUGGUUGGCUCCGAGACAAUCACCCAAGAAAGAGAAAAACACAAAGACGCCUCCAUCGUUCGAUCCAGUGGAUCAGAGGUUUCCCUCAAGAGCUAAAGCCGUGGGGAGGAGCACAAUUCCAUGACAACGCUUCCAAGAAAGGUCACGACACACACAAACGCCGCCGUCGUCGGCUCCGAUGAAGACCAGAGUAGGGAUUUCUCCCGAAGAUGCGUCGACCACCUGCCGCCAUCGACUGUUGCCCAUCAACCACCACCCCUACAUAGAGCAACCUUACUCUGGCCGCAUGAUCGCUCGAUCCUCGGCCCAGAACAAUGCGAGGUCCGGGUUAGCACGCACCCAUUUCAGCACCACGUUCGAUGUUGCGAAGCCGAACAUCACGUCACGUUGCUCCUCCUCGGAUGCUGCCUUGUUGGUGCCGUCCUGGUGUGCCAGGACGAGGCGUCGCCGCCAUGUCCGAGAUAGUAGAGGAGGCGGCCGCGCGGGUCAGCGAUCGCCGGGGCGGAGACCUCCUCCUCCUUCACGGCAACCGCACGCCACCUCCUUGUCGUGCCGGAAACGGUGCGGCGGGGCCACCGGCUCUGUCUUGAUGUGACGUCGUUGCGGGGGCGUUGACUCCUCCUUGACAUGGUGGCGGGGCGGGGACGCCACCUCCUCCGAAAACAUGUUUUAGAGCACCUGCACCCAUGCCCCUCUUAUCUAGCUAUCCAUUCUCCGCAUCAAGAUUCGUGCAAGUAUAUUUCUUUUUUUUGUUUCACUCAUAUAGAACAUGUCUGGAAGUUCAAAUCUUUGCAGAACAUCAAAUCUUUCUAACUAGAAUCUAGGAUAAAACUUUUAGAUUUUUUGGUCCAACAUAAAUAUACAAAAUAAGUUUUUUUUUAUUAAAAAAGAUCUUAUUUUUAGUAUUUAUGUUGGAUCAAAAAUUCUAAAAGUUUAUCCCACAUUCUAGUUAGAAAGUUUUGCUGCGCUGCAAAGUUUGAAGUUCAAGGCAUGUUUUAUAUGAGAGAAACAAAAAAGAGAAAAAAUUAGUUGCAUUGCACAGAUUUUAAAACAAACGUUGGAGAGUCAGGAUAACAGGACCAGGGUGCAGGUGCUCAAAAAAAAUCUGCAUUCCCACCUCCUCCUUGGACAUGGCGGUAGUGUGGCGGUUAGAGUGGCAAUCGAAGUUUUCCGUGCUGCAACAGAGAGGCUCUACUUGCAUCGGUGUUCAACUGCAGCAGAAAUUAAUAAUAUUGUAAUAGAUUAAUAAAAUCAAUGUCCCAGGCACAUGCUUUCAUCUUUAUAAUACAUCCAUAGAAUUGUUUCCAUUUCUCCCAUAUUCUCUCGGCGGUGGUCAUUCUGAUUCGAUAUCCAAUACUAGGCGUGUAGCCACUUUUUAUCUUCCGAAGUCACUUAUUGAUAUGAAUUUUGGAGUUGUUUUCCUCUAGGAAAUAUGCACUAUGGUCGUCUAACUCUUUGUCUAUGUCUGCUUUUGCAUGUCUACAUGAACAUACCAAUUCUAUGUCUGCUUAUGCGAACUUUGCCAUUGUGGAGCCAGCGCUGCUGAAUAAAAUCCUUUGUGGUUGAGAAAGCCUUGAAUUUUCCCAUUGGCUCACACCCUCCACAUCGUUUCAGGGGUCGUGGCAUUGCGCUUUCAGUGCACGGUGCCAUAACUGCGGCUUCGAUCCAGAGCUUCCAUCCAUCCAUCCAUGUGGAUGCACUGUGAGCCUGUGAUCUAGCCAGCCGAUCGUUGCUGUUUUCCUCUCAUCAACCUGUCUUGGUGAGGGGUGCAUGAGCCAUGUUCAGGUAUGAAUAUCCAUGUUGUCAUUUACGGUGCAUCCAUCCAUCCAUCCAUCCUGUUUGGAUCUUGGGCUGGUUCCAUGAUUCGGCUCCCCUGUUUCCUUUCCCCAGCGGGCAGGUCAGGUCGAUCAGGUCCCCUUCUGUUUCCUAAGCAAUUACAGCUGAUGGGGGUCCUCCCUAGUUUCAGCAACGGCAGCAGCAGCUAGGAACUGAAUUUUGCAGGUGGUGUGAUGGGUCACCAUGUGGAGCUCCUUCUCCCUGUGGUCCGGCUGUACUCCUAGCAUAUUUAUUCACCUGAAGAACCAUGAGAUCCAUUUGUUUCGGUUUAGAAUAGCACUCGCACACAUGCAUGCAACUUGGGUUUCACAAACGAGUCACAUGUUCUUUAACUAAAUUUGCAAUAUUCUUCAGGAUAUAAUCCGUCAGCGCAAUGAAGAAAAAAGAGCACUUCAUUGUUUUGGUUGGAUUCUUGGUACAUGGAGGGAUUUGCCUUUUCGAACAAAAUGGAGAUAAUUCUGUUUCAGGUGUCCUGGCGGGUUUGUAGGCUUGCCGGUACAGUAUGGCUGCAUAGUUCUGGGAAAUUAGCGUCAUGUACUCUGUUUGGUGUAAUGCUCUAUCAUGUACAGUACGGAGUAUAUUACAUUUCACUCAUUUGUGAGAUACCUUUUUCCUGCAUAUAUUGUAGCCAGUUUAUUUUUCAAAUCACUUGGUGUUAUGAAUUUUGGAGUCGGUUUCCUUUAGGAAAUGCGCUAUUGGUCAUUUAACUGUUUUCUUGGCCUGCUUUUUUUCUGGAGGGGUCUGUUUUUGCAUGAAUAUACCCAUUCUUGUACGAACUUUGCCAUUGUGGAUCAGUGGAUGCAAUUCUGAGUGUAAAUCCUUUGUGAGUCAGGCAUUUUUGUAUGUUCCCAUUCAUGGUUCACACCCUCCACAUCAUUUCAGGAAUGGAGCCUCUGCUUGUAUGAUUGGGUGAGUGGGACACCGUUGCGCUUUCUCGUGUACAGCAGCUUCGAUUCCAUGGGGACGCAUAUUGUGAGUGAUCUAGCCAGCUGCCCAGCUGAUCAUCGUAGCUUUCCUAUCAUCGACCUGCUCUGUGCAAGAGCCAUGUUGCAGGUAUGAAUGAAUAUCGAUCGCUCUUGUCAUUUUGGUGGAUCUCGGGCUGCUUCCAUGAUCCGGCUCUACCGUUUCCUUUCCUCACCACACAGGCCAGGUCCCCCUCAAACAGCCUAUAAUUCCAUUUUCAGCAGCAGCUAGCAACUGAAUUAAUUUUGCAGGUGGUUGUACUACUGCGUAUUUAUUUAUCGGACCCGACCCGACCCGACCCCAAGGAAGGACCAUGGCUGAACGCUUCCUUGGUGUGAUGGUUUCUCAGACUUUGGGUCUCCAUCUAUCUCUUCCUUGUGUGAGGAGCUUCUGCAUCGUCACUGAAGGCUGAAGGGUGCUACUCCCUCUUUCCUAAAAAAAUUUCUCAACCUCAUACCAACUUUAGUACAAAGUUACGCCAAAUUUGAGACACUUAUUUUGAGUCGGAGGGAGUAUUAUAUCGAUGCUGCUGGGAAUGUGAGUUGGACAGAGGAACGAGUCUCUCUUCUCUUGCGGAUUAGUGGCUGGUGCGUGAUGAUGGAUUGCUUGGUUGGGCUUGGUCCUUGGUGUGUUAGUUAAUUGAGCCGGUGGUUUGAGGUUGUCUGCAUCUGAUUGUUCAGUGAGUUGUUGACCUGGUGCAGGCUGGGAUAGAAAAGCUCGACGUGCGUACAACGAUCUUAAGUCAUGUCAUGUGUGUUCAAGUUUUGUCAUCAUCAUGCUAUUCUUCUAUUCUUUGGUGCCAACAUGUUGCUGCGAAGAAAACAACCGCAAAAUUUUUAGUGGUCGGCCGUCUAAACUUGGACUUCAAAACUUGUAGUGUGUCAUUUUGUCUUGCUCCUGAUAAUAUUAGGACAUACGAUACAUCUUGUUUCUACUCCAUUUGUCCGAAAAUAAGCGUCGCUGUUUUAGUUCAAAUUUGUUCCUAGCCACGACACUUAUUUUCGAUAUUGUAUAAAUCAGUUUGAUGAUACUUAUUUAUAGGAAGAAUUUUUUUUAGAAAAGGAGGAUGUAUCCCCGGCCUCUGCAUCUGGACGAUGCAUGUAGCCAUAUUAUUAAUUAUUCAUAAAGACCAUACAAGGUGAUACAUCAAUAAGCCUGAAGCCACCAUCUUGACAACACUGUUGCUACUCAUAUCCCCUUGAUGAAGGCGUGCCGAAUGUCCGGGCCUAAUACCAAACAGACAACGCACUAAAGCCUAACAUCUAAAGCCGGGUGUCCCCUCCAAGCCACUACCUGGAUUGGGUCCCACACCGGUCAGGCACACUCCCAGUGAGCACCGCAUGCUGCAAGGGCCGUCACCUCCACCAUCCCUCGAUCCAUCCUCAGAGCAAAACUGUUGCACCGAUCUUGCCAGGCCUCUCUGCCAUCAACGCCACCAUGACGCCAAACAGCUUCCUCCUCCUGCGCGAGUCCAUCUCCAGACGCGCCCAUCGCCAAACCUCCACGGCGCCAUGCCGCCAGUUUUCGCCGUCGGCCUCGCGGUAGAUGUAACACAGCUCCUGCUCUUGUCCCCUCCAGCCAGCGCAUGCUCCAAAACGAUGCCCCCAGGAGGGACAAUGACAUCGAAGGUGCCAUCAUCAUCCGAUCCGGUAGACCCAGAUCUAGGGUUUCCCCGGAGCUCACACCGUCGCCGCUGCUAGAGCUACACGGCACCCACCACCCAUAGCAUCUCUCGCCCGACCAUCUGAGCCUCCCAAGACGGCGCCUCCAUGGAGGUUACGACGCGCAGGGCGCCGUCGCCGCCCAAUCCAGACUGAAUUUUAAACUUUCGUCCGAGAGGGGUUCGGAUGUGGAUAGGAGGGACCUCGGCUUCGCCUCCAAGGAGGGUAACGAUGUCGUGGGACACCGCUGAUGCCGGACCGGACCAACCGGCCAAAGUUUCCUCCGGUGCCCAACCUAUACCACCAAACCUCCGACUGUUCUGGAUCCGACAGCGAGACGAACCGAGACCAGCAGAGAUGCAAGUACCAUGGGGCUCAACCCACCAGAAAGGAGGAUCAAGAAGGACAGCCGCCGUAGAUCUCCAGGCGCCGAAUCCAAUGAUCCGGCGAGGCCAGAGGCGUAGACCACCACCCCGCGCCGGCCGACAACAUCCAAGCGCCAGAUCCAGAUGGAUCCGGCCUGAACAUGGCGGCGCGCGACCACUUGAUCUGAAGACCACACAACCACCACCUCGCCGUGGAGUCACAUCCAAGCCGCAACUGCCGCGCCGCGUCGUCGGCGCCGCAAUGCGCCGCCGCCAAGAUGCUCGCCCACCGCGCCGCCAGACCCCGUGCUAGCCCGAUGCCUCUUCGCGAUCUGGUUGUCUCGCGCCGCCCAAUAUGCUCCAAGGGGGAGAGAUGCCCCGCCGCCGCCCAGCCGGCCAAGCUUUGCCCGGCGGCGAUGCGGACGGCAGCGAGGAGAGGUGGAGGCGGAGGAGGGACGAGGGGGAUGGCGGCUAGGGUUCCCCCGGGUCGCCCGCGGGGGCGACACGAGGGGGACGAGGGGAGGGACGAGCACUUAUUUAUAGGAAAUGCCACGAAAAUGCUGAUGAUAAAUCUUCAUUAGCAAAAGUCUGAGGAUUAAUCUGUCCUGUCCAUCCUAUUCCUUGCUUUUUUAUGCUUUUACUACGAAAAUUCCUUGUUGAUUUUUUGGAGGUUUCAAGGAGCUCCUAUUCGGCGCUUUAGGCGCCAGGGAAGCUCGCGCCGACGCUGAUGGGCCGGCCCAUGUAGAUUUCGCUUUUUUUUUCUGGUUCCCUCGAUCGCAUUUGGCAAAAAAAACACGAAAAAACAAAAUAAUUCGAAAAAAAUCAUGAAUACAAAAAGUUCACGGACUUUGAAAAAAGUUCAUCAAUUAAAUAAAGUUCACGGACUCCCAGAUGCUGGAGGAGAUCCGGGCGAGGCGGGCUGCCCGCAUAGCAAGUGGCCCGCCUCCGGACUCACCUGAGCUGGAGCAGGAGGAGGAUGAGGAAGGGGUGGGGGAGUAGCAGGCAGAUCUGGAGGAGCCGACACCGGUUACGGGCUUCACCCUGGAGGACGCCAUGACAGAGUUCGAGGUCGUCCAAGCGAUGGACAUGGCGGAGCAGCAGGCGAAUCCAGAGAAGGAGCCGACGCGAUUGUCGGCUUCGCCACGGGGGAUGCCAUGACGGAGUUUGAGGUCGUCCAAGCGGCAGAGGUAUUGGAGUAGCAUGCAAUUCUAGAGUCGAUUGGGAUGAGCCCUAUCUCGAGGCCAACCGGUGGUUCAUCCAUCAAGAACGGGCGGAGACCGAUGCGCUUUUCAUCGAACUGGAGGCGGCGGAGGCCGACAUGGAGGAGCCGCAAGAGCCGGAGUUGCAUGUGUUGUCGUGUACCCGGAGGGAGGCAUGAAGAUCGUGGACAUCUCCGACAACGAUGAAUAGUAUAGUUGAUCUACGCACUAGGUUUUUUUGCAUGCUUUGUACGGUUUUAAAGAUUGAAUCAUGAGGUGUCCGGAUGCAGAGAGGGAAAUUUGAGGCUGCCCGGCCACUGCCCACGUAUGCAUCGGGCCUGGUCCACAGGUGCUUGAGGGGCCACAUUUGCUGUCCGUGCCUCUAGAUGCUCUCAGAGCAUCUUCAAUAGGUGCCAUAGAAUAUGACAUAACCGCUUAUAUAUAGAGAGAGAAAUUAAACUAGCUAAGCUAGCAUGGCAGCACAAAAUUCCCAGUGUUAUGUGAUGCCUCUCCACUGCUAGACAUGUGUAUUUGGUUUUCUUCCUGGUUCAGAGCUGGUGUUUUACCGGUUUUAUUUUUGGUGCCCCGGUCUGGGAGUUCCACCGUCUAUCCAUCGCGUGGUAAGUUACAUGGAGGGGCAGUUGUUUACUUUAGCUUGGUCGGUUACGAGCCUCCGGGAAGCCAAGCUCGUCGACAAAAUGUUCAUUGAGCCAAUGCACAUAAAUCUGGGAAUGGGUUUUGAUUAACCGGGGCCAAUGGUUUGGUUUUUUGCUCUGGGCUUAAUUGGUUCGGGUUGUGAUGGGCCCAGACUGUUAUCAGUUUGGUUUGGUUUGGGUUUGCAUAAAAACAAGUUGGGUAUGGCUGGGUGUGGGUCUAAAUGGUUUGGUCGCUAACCGUUGCAAAUACUGAUUUAGAACCGGUUCUAGAACUGGGUGUACGCACGCGAUGCGACGUGGCCGGUCACCCACGUACGUACGCAAUGCGACGCGUCUGGACAUAUACGUAUUGGGCUGCUACUAUGGAUCAAUUAAGCUACUAGCUAGCUUGCUUGUUUCUUGGUUAGCUUUGCACAUACAACAGAUUGAUUUGGUUUCAACCCAAAACUAAGAACUAGGUUAAACCAAUAGUUUGAAGAGUGGUUUGGUUUUGGUUGAGUUGGACAAAGCGUAUGGUUUGGUUUGGUUUUGGUUCUGCACGAUAAUUGACGGUGUGGUUUAGUUCUGGUUCAAACUCCGCGUUGACUGGUUAUAGUUUAGGUUUGGUUGAGUUGUAUAACCAUUGCCAUGUUUAAAUGCACAACCAUCCCCCUGCUCUGCUGCCAUCGCCGACCACCCCUGCUCUGUCAUUGUCGUUGCUCCAUGCCGUCCUCCCAGCGACCUGAUGUACUGAAUUCUAGGAUUGUCCGGGUCCUCACCGACUUUCCCUUCACCACUCUGCGUCGCCGAAGUCAUCUUGUCCCCACAUGCCUUCGUCCCUACUCUGCCUUGCUCCUCCCUUCGGAGCCCAGUUAGCCGCGCCGCCCUGCCACAUCCAGCCACAAGCAGCUCCAAAUUCUCGGUAGUACCUUCCCCUGGUGCGUCCUUGUCCGUAUCAUGGCCGAUGAGGUUCAUAUCGCGUCUCAAGUUCUGCCGUGUGAGGAGCAGCAUGCCGCUAGCAGUGCUGGCAUCCGAUCACUGCUGGGUCUGGUAUGUCACUCGAGUCGCCUGACAAUAUGUCCCAUCGGUGAGGUAAAAUCCCCUAUUUCUUUCAGAUUUGUUUUUUGACUGAUAUGUAGACAGUUGCUUCAUGCUAAAAUUGACCAUUGAUUUGACUUUUUCAAAAAAUGGAAAUGUUCACAAAUUUGCAAAGCAUCCAUAAAAUCUGGAAGAAAAGGUCCACAAAUUUGAUAAAAGUUCAUCUAUUUGAUAAAAGUGACUUGUAAAAGUUUGCCAAAAAUUCACUAAUUUGAAAAAAAAAGUUCAGCAGAAGAUAAAAAAAAUCAUGAAAUUUAGGAAAUUUUCACGAAUUUGAGAAAAAUUUCACAUAUUAUAAAUGAGAAGGUUCACAAAAAAUUUGGGAAAAUAAAUUUGAGAAAAGUUUAUGAAAUUGGAAAAUGUUCACAAAUUGAUAAACAAGAAAAAAGGAAAAAAGAAAGGAAAAACUAAAAAUGUAAAUUAAAAAACCUAAAAAGAAAAAGGAAAAAAAUGAGAAAACCGGUGAAAAAACCCUACUCCCUGCUUCCAUCUAUAUAGGGCCUAAUGCGUUUUUCGAGGCUAACUUUGACCAAAUACUAGAGCAAUAAUAUAUGACAUGCAACCUAUACAAAGCACACCGUUAAAUUCGUAUUUGAAAGGAGCUUUCAAUGAUAUAAUUUUCACAUUGUGCAUGUCAUGUAUUAUUAAUUUUGUCGAUAGUCAAAGACGGUCUUAAAAAAUGCAUUAGCCCCUAUAUAGAUGGAAAGAGGGAGUACAUGGGAUGACCUAUUUAGAUAUUAGUGUUGUAGAGGGGGUGUGCACCGGUUAGCAAAUGCACUCUAAUCGGCAUUAAGGCGCUUUCUACGCCAAGUAGUUGAUCUGGUUCCUACUAGCGUAGGAUGUGGGCUGCAUCUAAUAAGCCCAACUUCAUUUCGCUACAGUAUUCAAAUCGUUCUACUCUUUUUUGCUCGUGCUACUAUAACCUGUUUCAAUCGUUCCAGUGAUUCGUUUGUUCUACUGUUUCAAGAGAAGAUAAAUUGAUUCAUUCAUAUUACUGUUUCUAUAUAUGUUAUGAAGUGCUCUCUUAAAACUGGUUCCUAAAAUGUUUCUUUAGAACUAGAAAACAAUUAAAAAGAAGAUUGAAACCAAGUAUUUCCAUUUUGAACUACUUGAAGCAAAAUGGGAUGACAUAGUAAAGAAAAAAACUAAGAAUUAUCAUUCAAGGAAAAAGAACAAAUUUAAAUUAAUUUAGAGGAAAAAAAGGAAGAUCUUUUUUGGUCUUGAAGAACUGAACUGUCAACGCCAUAUUCUUGUAGACUUGUAGGAUAUUUCUUACAAGAUGAUUAAAACUAGGCCGGUAGGGAGAACCUAGAAAUUAUUAAUUCCGAACUGCACCUCUUAAAACAGGAAAGAAAAAAUAGCUACAGAUUGAACAGAACUUGAACAUCACUUACUGUAGUGAAGAAACUGUCAAUUCCAUAGGCAAGCUUCUACCUUUAUCCUGCAAAAAGAAGGAUUUCAAAGAAAAGAAAAAAUAUAGUCAAAUUCCGGAUCCACAUUUUUGAAAAGGAGAGAUUUGUCAUUGUAGAGAAUAGGGGUCCCUAUGAAAAAGGAUAAAGAAAGAAUACAUGUUGGCUCUUUAUUUAACUUUGGAAAAAUGCCAUACUCAAGCAUUCAGAAAAUAAGACUAACAAAAAUGCCAUACUCAACAAUUCACGAAGUCAACAAAAAGUUCACGAGGUCAAAAAAAGUUCACAAGAUUUAAAAAAAUUCACGGUUUUGGAAAAAGUUCAUAAACCCAAAAAGGUCCACGAAUUAAAAAAAUGUUCGCGGGAUUUGAAAACAAAAUAAUGGGAUUCAAAAAGUUCAUGGAGUUGAAAAAAGUUCAUGAACUCAAAAAAGUUCAUGGGUUCGAAAAAAAUCGUGGGGUUUAAAAAAUUCGCAGAUUAGAAAGAAGAUCACAUUUCAGUAAAAAAAAGUUCAAUUUUUUUAAAAAAUUACAUAAAAUUUGGAAAAAUAAAAAAUUGGAGGAAAGGUCAUGAAUUUGAAUAACAUUCACCUGGAAAAGAUUGAAAAAGUGAAAAAAAUGUCACCAAUAGAAAAAAAGUUAACAACUAAGAUUUAAAAAAGUUCACUAAAUUUGGGAAAAGUCGAUAGAUUUGAGAUGAAAAAGUUCACAAAAAUUGGAAAUGAUUUCUAAUUUGAAAAAAAUAACACGCAAUUGGGAAAGGUGCAUGAAUAAAAAUGUAAAAAGAAAAUCAAACGAAAAAGAAAGAAAUUAAGAAAACGAAAAAAGUAAACAAAAUGAGAAAACCAUUGAAAAGAAUGUACAUGGGCCGCCCAUCUAGAUAAUACUAAUGCCUAUUGACGGGGCGUGCAUCGGUUAGCAAAAUGCAACCUAACCGGUCUUUAAGGCGUCGAAUAGCAGUUGGGAUUGCCCACACACCGUCCGUGCGAACACAGCCAUUCACAAACUCUGAAAAAGAAAUUUUUUAAAAGAAAACACUCUUAAAACAAAAUUCGAAUCUCCCUCUACACGUCCCCUCGCACCAAUCACCAAUGUCUACAGCGCGCUCCCCCCAUUUCCCUCCCCGCCCCGAAUCCCGAUCCCCUCCAAACAUUUCGCGAAAAUUUUCAAGAUUCGCUUGGCCCUUGGAGCCUCCCGGCCAAAAAUGGCAGGAAACACAGAUCCGUCCGCUCCCUCCCACUCCUCUCCGGCCGAAAAUUCCCCCCGAAACUCAAAUCUUUUCAUCCUCCUCCCUCUUCUUCCCUCCUACCUUCGUUACAAAUACCCAUGGAAGAUCCUUCCAGUCCCAUCCCAAGCUCCAACCGACUCACCUCGCCGCCCAGUACCUCGCCGAGCCCCAAUCCCGAGAGCGUCAGCUCUUCUUCGAGAUGGCACUUGACCGCGCCGACAAGGAGAAUUUGCCGCCGGCGGCCGCCGUCGCCCGUCCUCAUGGCGUGGCUGUCAGGAGCUGCAAGCUGAAGCGGCUCGGGAGGUCGCGGAGGCGGGUGCCGCUCAGGGACAUCACCAACCUCUUCGCCGUGGAGUCAACGGUUGCCCAGUGGCAGCAGGCCCUGCUCCAGCGGCCGCAGCCGCACGAGGGGUCGGCGACGGCGGAGCCGGCCGUGAAGAACGGGCUGGCCGGUGCUGUGCUGAAGGCCGGCAGAUACUCUCUCCGGAAGGAGUUUAGAUAGCUACUACCGAUUAUAUAUGGAUUAUACUUUUCAUUUCAUUGUCCAAUGAUUCAUUGGACUAGAUUGGUUGGUUAGUCAGUUGGGUUUUUUCAGUUCCUUAUUCCUGGUGAUAGGAAAUGAGCUGCUGAAGUUGAAAGAAAAGAAAGAGAAACCUCAAAUUGAAUUCGUAUAUCGAUUAAAGGUGUAGCAUACUGAAUUGGAAUCUGGAACUUUGCUGUAGCCUAUUUUCAGAAAUUAUACUAUUUGGAGCUGAGAUCUGCUUCUCCAGUUCUCCAGGGGACUGUGUGGCACUCUGAAUUAUACAACAGCUUUCAAGCCACUCCCUUUGCAGGCAUAUAGCAUCUGUGCCAUUGCUAGGCGAUCUCCUGAUUGAUCGUCAAUCCAGACGGCCAUGGAAAGAUGUUGAAACUGCUUCGGUACAACAAGUACUGUGGCUGCGGUAGAGGGAGCAGGAGGGUGUGAUUUGCAUGGCAUUCAGCACAAUAUACCAGUACUGUGUUUUUGCUCUUCAGUGAGGAACACGAAAAGAAUAGAUCUGAUGCUGAUUAUGUGAGGCUUCAGGAGGAAGGAAAGACAGAACAGGCUGGGAGACUUUGGUUAGGGUGUACGACUGAUUUUUUUUCUACUGUUCUAUGGUCUCCCUUUCUAUAGUUUGUUCUGCACAUGUACUUUGCAAUCAUGAUGAUAUUCUCCAUCAUUUGUCAAUACACCAUGUCAAUAUCAUAACUAGCUAGAAGAAACGGCCUAACAUGCUCCCAUUUGAUUCUUGUGUGCAAGCCCAUAUUAUGAAAUGAUACAAUCAUGUUAGAUUCAAGGAAGUUGCGGGUCCGAUUCAUAUUACAGAUUUCAUAUUAUACUAUCUGUCGUUCCUGAAGUACUAAAAAAUAGAAAAUGGUGCAUUUUCCUCUAAUUCAUCAUUCUAUUUUUUUUUGUACCUCAGAUUUAUGGGGUUAUCAUAUAUUUCAUAGAAUGGUUUUCACCGUGGUUGCUGUUUUGUAUCCUUGUUUAAUAUUGGACCAUAGUUGCCUGAUUAACUGUAGAUCGCCUUACUUUGAUCCAGCAACAAAGUAAGGAAGUUGCAGAGAAGCACGAACAGGAAAAAACAUCUCGGCAUUUUUCCUCAGGUAAUUCCGUGAUCUUAUCAUGUUAGCUUUCUUAUAUGAUGCCAACCCCUUGUGUUGAUAAGUAUUCUGCUGCAGGUAUCAAGGAAAUUAAUUUUCAGCAGAACUAGCUUUCUUCAAUUAUCAGAUCGAUAUAAAGGAUGAGUUGCUCCACAUAUUUGGAAGUUUAAUGGUUAGUUCCUAGCGGAGUUUGUGACCGAAUCGAAAACCGUUUUACCCGAGGUCACAGAUAUAUUUUAUGCUGCCACAUGCUUAGAGGUUGUGAUAAGAACCAGAAUGUCAAGGUUUAAAAAAUACAUGAUUUAAAUAUGAUAUCUCCAAUGUUUCUGUGUUAAUCCCUUUAAAAUACCGCCAUCAUUUUCCUUUCAGUAGUUAGAUAUUUUUUACCGACAAUAUGCAAUGUCAUCUACUCCCUCUGUUCAUUUUUAUAAGACCUUGUACACAUUUCAGACAGUUUGCAAAACAGGUCAAUUUCAGUUGUCUGAAACGACUUAUAAAAGUGAACGGAGGGAGUAGCUUUCUUCAACAUGAUUUAGAGUAGAGUAGUUUGCUUUCGAAACCAUGAAACAAUAAAAACUGACCUCGGUUCAGAUGUUCUUUCUGUCACUAUCCUAUAGCUAGGUACACAUGCAUGUUGACAUUUUCCAAAAAAAAAAAAGUAUGCUGACUUUGUACUCUUUGAAAAUUGGGAGGAGUUGAAUAUAUACUAACAUAUACAGUGCCAUCUGUGGUGGAAAAGGCAAAGCUUGCCUGAUUGUACAUCUGAGCAUUAUUGUACAGGAAUGCAGCUUCUUUCAAUUUCCUUGUUGGAUGGCAUUGAAUUAGAGAAUACAGCCACGAAGGUUACAACCUGAACUUAAAUCAUAAUGCAUAACAAUGGUCUUCCCCCUAGAGUAAGUGUUAUGGAAUUGGAAGGUUUAUUACUACAAGGCAAGAUUCAGGCCUACUGAGUCAGUCCAAUAAUUAUUUAAUUUGGCACGCUCUAAAGAUUUUAUCUAUGCACAGCAUAUGAUUUUGAUUAGCACAUGCAUCUUAUGUAGUAGGAAAUCUCUGCUCACAUGAGAAUUUAGCUCCUGCGUAGUAAAUUUUUACAAUCUUUACUCUGCUCCGAAGUUACCUGAGAUAGCAAAAAGGACCAUUCUGGAUUGGGCGGCGGCGGCGUCCUGCGCGUCGUAUCCUCCAUGGAGGCGCCAUCUUGGGAGGAGCUGUUCGGGAGAGAGAUGUUGUGGAUGGUGGGCUCCGAGUAGCUCCAGCAGUGGCGAUGGUGCGGAGGUUGCUAGGUGGUGCGGCGUUGUAUCUACCGCGUCAUUGGCGACGAGUGUUGGCGGCAUGGUGCAGCUGCAUUUCGAUGACGGAUGUGGCUGGAUGGACGAGCGCAGGGUGGUCAAGCUGUCUGGCGCCAUGGUGGCGUCGACGGCAGGCCUGGCAAGGUCUGUGCGUCAGUGCCUGUUCUGGAGAUGGAUCGGUGGAAGAAGGCGGCGGCAGCCUCGGUGAGUGCGCCGGACCGGUGUGUGACCCAGUCCCGGUAUGUGGCUAGGAUGGGGCAUCCGGCAUUAGAUGUUAGGAUUUGGUGCGAUGUCUGUUUGGUAUUAGGCUCGGACAUUCGGCCACUGCAUCAAGGGGAUAGGAGUAGCGACAGAUGUUGCCUAGAUGGUGGCUUCAGGCUCACUGAUGUACUACUUUGUAAGGUCUUUUGUGCUUACUAAUUAAUAAAGUGGCCGUAUGCAUCGUCGAGAUGCAGAGGCCGGGGGUGCAUCCUCCUUUUCUAAAAAAAAUAAAAAAAAAGCAAAAAGGACCAUUAGUUCAAAAUCUCACCUACAUUAUUACUUUUUUUAACCACAAGAAUCUGAUGCAUUCUGAUUUAAGUAUGAUGUACCCACCAUAUUCUUGGGAUCGUUAACUUCAGUUUUAUUUUUGUGCACGUUUUGUUUCAGACAAUUGCUCAAGGACUCGUGAUAAAAACUCAAAGUUUCUCCACACGUCGCCGUGUUUAGUACAGGCACCCGGUGGUUAUGGUGAGGUCUGGUUCGUCUUAGACGUCGUGGAGGUUGCCCAUGUCCGGGCAGUACGUCGCUCACAUCGCCUAGCAAGCUGCUCCCACCAGUGAGGCAGAGCCUCCCUUUUACUCCGUUCAAAUUGUUCUCUGAUUGAUAUGUUUAGAGUUGAUUGGAAUGAUCAGGCUUAGGUGCAGAUACUUGCUUCAGGCUUCGAUCUAGACAUAUUUUCCUAGGGAUGGAUGCAUGGAUGCAUAGUUCGUGAUUGUUAAAUUUGGUUAAACUUUGGGGUUUUUAUUUUUAUUUCUUUUCAUAUAAACUUCCAAGGUUUUACUGUGCGGUUUCAAUGAUAUUUUUUUUGAUUCAGGACAAGUUUGAUCAAUCCAAUGAUUUGUUGUUUCUCACUGACACUAUGAAAGAUUGAUCUCAUGUUUUUUAUUUUGCAGCAUAGGGAAGUUCUUUUUGCAGGACAGAAAAUUGUGGUGGAUAAAGAGGCGAGAACCAACAAGUAAUUGAUCUCUUUUCCUAAUGGUCGAACAACUGCAGCUUCAGUUUAAGCAAUAAGAGCCAUAUUCAGGUUAGAGAUAUAAUUAAACAUUAAUGCCAUUCGUGAUAUAACCUGUUUUCAGCCCGGGGUUCUUAAGUUUUGUUUUCUGGAUUUGACAGAAAUUCAAUCAUUUUUGAGGAAUUCUGACGAAAAAAUUGAACGCAUUUUGCUUUUGGCUCGAUUUGACAUGUCACUACCUUUUUACUAAUUGUAAAUAUAUCUUUACUCACAGAAAUCACUAUAAAUUAUGGAUUCUUUUGAAAAAGUUUCUGGGGAAAAGAGCACUCUGGUUCAGUCCAGUUUUCUGGAUUAGUCAUCUUUACUGCCUGAUGCUUUGGGGGCUGCUAUAGCAGAGAUGCUACUUCUUUGGUGCGCCAGAUCGAACGAUAGUUCUUUACGAGUUUUCCUCCAGUGUAAAGCGGAUUUCCUUUCAGCCGCUUCUUAAGUUAGCUACACCCCGCUGUACCCCUUUCGCUUUUUCUGAUGCAGCUAGCUAGCUAGCAUCCUUUGUACCCUGACAAUUCUCAGACCUUGGUCUGGUUUUGGGAUAUAUAAGGUAGACUGCGGCAGUUCAGUAUCCAUUAACAUAUUGUAAUGUUCAGGGUUCAGUGUACGAGCAUAACUACUUGAGCUAAAUACCAGUUUAGCACUAGGAUCUCCGAUUGGUACCGCGCAUGGUAACAAUAUACAGAAUUAGAGUAUAUAUGCGCUUACUGUAGAAACUUAACUUUUUUGUAAUGGGCAGCAAUCUAGAUUUAGUUGGUUCAGCGGUGAGGAGAGAGUAUGAUUGAUCCGAGUGUUAAACUGGUAGGCAGCGACCAACCGGUGGAGAUGGAGAGGAACAUGAAACAGAUUUGGGGAGGAAGAGAGAAGGCAGGAGAGAUAUCAAGUAAUACUGUUUAACAAUCUGCAGCUUAGUCAUCUUACAAAUACCAAUCAUAUCCCCUUUCUCACUCUAUAGCAAAUAGAUCAGGACUUGGGCUUUGUUAUUUUCUCCUGCCAUUCUCAAAGUUCAUCACUUGAUCGUUUAUUGCUUAAAUAGCGUACUCACGUACUGUCCGAUUGACGCAUCAGUGUAGGAACCAGGUUUAGUUAUAAAUAAAAAUCAAAAUUUGUAAAUUAACAAAUUCAAAGAUGUUCUGUUGCUGGACACGAAGGUACUUCCAUAUUUUCGUCAUGAAUACUUGAAUAGUUCAUCUAAUUCGAGCGGUCACUAAUGUAAUUUACGAAAAUAACCAAGUCAAAUGAAAACUCUUAUAAGAAGCAAAAGACACCAGCUAUUGUCAGGAAUUCUUCUGUUACCUUUUUGCAUACAAUCACCAAAUUCUUGUCAAGAUCAUGAACAUCCGUAGGCUGAAUAGUGUUUGCUAGCAGAGACCUAUAAAGUGUAGUUAAAAAAAACAAUGCGUGAAAUGAGGCAUCGAUGCGUAACCAAUAGUUUUACAAGGCACUCUAUUAAUUUGGCUAGGAGUUCAGUUUGAUAAGUUUUGUUCAUUUAUUUACUUUUGCGGGAUAAAACUACUAUUUUCUAUUCGAACAUAGGGAGAAACAGCACAAGGUGUUAUCCCAGCGGAUAAGAUUAGUAAACUUAAGAACAGAAUUCGAGAAGGAGUGAUCUACAUGAUCCAGCAUUACCUGAUUCUGAGAGCAAAAGUAAAAUACAGAGCCACUGAUCAUCCUUUCGGGCUUUCUUCUAUUAAUACAAAUACAGUGUGUCCCGUCAAUCCUCAGCAUCCUGGUUUUCCUCUCAUCGCUCAUAAUGCUCUUCCAUUCUCUGAACUUGAAAAACGAAUCGGAUCAAAUGUGCUUAUGUCAGGUUAGUUGGUACACAUCUUUAUCUAGGAAUGUGUUAUACUGCGUGUCUAAAACUUGCAGAUGUAAUUGGUCUAAUUACGGGAAUCACAGAUUUUCUUCCUCCUACUGUAAAUGCACAUGAGCCAAGACGUCAAAUCUUUAUUGCCAACCGACAAUAUAUCAUUUUCUCACAAUUACAGCAGUGUACAUCAUCCAUGAAUGACCACUUCUACAAAAUUCAGCAACUUAACUAAUUAUGCAGGAGACACACAAUUGUUAUUCUUUGGGGAAAUUUUGUACAGUCCUUUGAUGCAGACGCACUGCGCUCCUUUGGUACUGUUUGUUGGGGUCAUGGUAGAUCGGUAUGCCGGAAUGGAAUGCACUGUUUUGAAGUUUUUUUACCCAUGAAAAUCUAAGUACAUCACCUGAUCAAAUAUAUUCUGAAAUGCUCAGGCUAGAGGCUGAAGACCAGACAGACCCACCUUUUGCCGAGUUUACUUUCUUUGGGAAGCAAGUACUCAUAACCGAAACAACUGCAGAAUGUGCAGCAGGCCAUGCGAAGGGUGUGCCACCUGAAAUAGAGAGGCUUCACGGCAAGAAAUUAAUUACUACAUUCACUACCAAAAAAAAAUGAUUGAGAGCCGACUUCUGCCAUUUCAAAGUGUAAGCAACAGAUCACUUAGAAAACGAAAGACCACUUGCACAGUUUCCGAUGCGUAAUCCAGCAGCAGUUCCAGACAUUCAUGGCUCUUCAUCCUCUGUGUCUGCAACAACUGAAGAUCCUCUUGCAACACAACCGCCUAUUAAGGACGGUCAGUAGAGUAAUUCACCAUCUGAAUCAGAACCAGCUGAGGUAUAUCAAACGGAUCCAAACUGACAUAGGUUAUAUUCUGUACAAAUUGUCUGUCUGUUCACAUUGCAUUGUUGGCUUGCAGCCACUUAAUGACAAGAUUGACGGGCCUGCAGCAAAAGAGUUGUUCCUUGCAGCAACCGCCCACGGAAGUGGAGCUACUACGGAGAAGUAGUCCACCUCUCGAAUAUAGUUCUAUCCAGUAGUCAUACCACGCAUAUUCUGUUAUGUAUAUGAACCAAGAUGUAGAUAUGCAUCUACGCCUGUCGAACUAAGUAGGUAGUGUUAGUAUCCUGUGUUGCACAAGCGUAUUGUGAACCUUAAGCAUGUUGUUUGCAUCGCAAUAACAUCCUUUUGGCCAGAUUGUUGUAAAAGAGUUGUUGGGGGGUAAAUGCGUUCCAAGCCAUGGACAUCGCAAUAACAUCCUACCGCUGCCACUGCUGCCCCUCGCAGGCGUCGAGGCAUGCCGCGGGGGUAGAUCUAUGGUGGUGGUGGCUAUGGCGAGAGGGAGGUGCGACGUCGCGACGUCGCACCUCCCUCUCGCCAUAGCCACCACCACCAUAGAUCUACCCCCGCGGCAUGCCUCCACGCCUGCGAGGGGUGCGGGCGCCGAUCGCACCCACACCUCCUCCACCCCAACAACUCCCGCCCGCCAUCUCUAAGAGAUUCCCAGAGAUCCUGCGGCUAAUCUCUCCAGUCCCACAGGCGAUGCUCAUGGCGACCAGAGCCAGGGGGUGGACGGAGCGCGCGACCAGGCUCCGGGACGCCACCUUCGAGUGGAUCCGGUGCGUGCAGGAGUGGAAGGCGGCGGACCGGGCGGUGGCAGCGGCGACCGAUUCGGUGGCGAGAUCUGCGGCCGCGAAGGUCGCGGAGAUUUAUCAGAGGAAGGCGGGCUUGGAGCAGGAGAAGCUAGCGCGGCGCAUCUUCGAGGAAGCCACGCUGGAGGAGAGGGCAAGGAUGCCCCCAUUUCCGCAUUCUCCACCGGCCGAGUUCAUGAUCUGGGCGAGAGCAGAGGCGAAAUCGAGCGAGCUACGGCGGGUGAGUCGCUGGGAAUGCAUCCUGGGAGUUCUACCACCGAGCGCAUGAGGGGGGCUGCGGGUGUUGCGGCGAGAUUGCCACAAUGCCGCGCCAACCCACGGCCUCACCGCGGCCUGCUCGAGCCACCUUGGUUUGGUGACCACGGCGAGGUUCCGCCGGGUGCUCAUUCACGAGCACGCGGGGGGAUUUAUGUCCCUGAGGUCCAAAUGCUUACUACGGUUCAUCAGGCAUCCGAGCAGGAGAUUACCGAGCGGAGUUUGUACUCCGAGAAACAGAUUUCCUCGCCGGCAGCGAGGGCCGCUUCGUCGGAGUCGGGGGAUUGUUCCCCUUUGGCUCCUGUGGGAACGACCAUGCUGAUUGGCAAUGGCCCCACUGCCACGUCUCUUCCACCAAUCAAAUGCAGGAGGGUGAAGACGCCUUUGGCGAAUACGCCUCCCACCCGAGAUGACGCGGACGAGGUUAUAUCUGGGGUUUUUGGAUAGCUCUGGUCCACCCCCUCCCCUCCCCGCCGCCAACUCCAUUCUCGCCCCCAAGUCGAACUGCUUCCACCUUGGGAUGGCUCCGGAAGGAUCUUGUUCAAUCUGGAGUCUUCUCCCCGUCUGAUCUGUUCCCAGUCAAGAAUCUCCGGCCUUUCGACCCUCCACCGAUAAAACUCAAGAUCAUCAGAGAGGGGAUCGGGGUCGGAUCCAAAUCCUUUGCUCAGGUGGUUGCCAUGUCGGACAAGGUUGCGCCGAUUGGGGCGUAGAAACAACAUGCUCCAGUGCAGAAGAACCUGGGUUGUCGCCAAGGUGCAAGUGGGGCGCGUCCCAACCCUGCCACCCCCUCCCAAAGGCGUUGCCCCUCUUCAGCAAGUCACGGCAGCGCCUCCGCCACCGGCUGCACCUGCCCCAGCUGUGCAGGUCUUCGAUGAGCGCUACAAGGAUAUGGUAUGUUUUACUUGUGGAGGCCCUGGUCACUACGUGGGUAAUUGCAUCCAGAAGAAAGUUUGCUUUAUCUGUGGAUUGGAAGGGCACAACGUCAACAACUGCGCAGCUUGGGCGCAACCUCAUCCAUUUGCUACCUUAUUUGGGAGCUCAACCCUGGGUUUAGGGUUUUACCGCAUUGACGCUCCUGUGGGUUGUGAGGCAAGUUGGCUCAACUUUAGAAACUGUGGAGAGGUCUGGGUCAUGAAAGGAGAGAUCAACAAGUCGGAUUUGAUUAAGAACCUGUCAAAGAUUUUAUGCAAAAACAAACAAUGGACUUGGCAAGUCAAGCCCCUUUUAGACAAAAAAUUCUUAGUUAGAUUCCCACCCUAGAAAGAUGUAGAGGAAUUGAUUGAGUUUCCUGCUUUUGACUUACCAAUUGAUGGAGUGUCUGUGACAGUGGAGAAGUGGACCGGUGCGAUUGAUCCAUUUAGCGGGCUAACUGAAGCCUGGGUGAUCAUUGAGGGCCUCUCGUCUAAAUGGUGCACAUGGAAAGUUCUGUCGCAGAUUGCUUCUUGCUUUUGGAUCCUUGUGGAUGUUGACUAGAAUGGUCUAAUGAAGAGUUUCUAUGAGAAAGUGAGAAUCAAGAUUGCCUGUAGGAACCCAGCGAAAAUUCCCUUUGAACGGAUCAUGGAAAUGAGGAACAAGUUAUAUAUGUUAUAUUUGUGUCGAAUAUAUUAUGUACGCAAGGGGUUACGUGGACUUGGAGUUGUAAUUGAUGUGGUUAGGUAUGAGUAGUGUAGGAGUCGGACACUUGUAUCCUAGGCCUCUUAUAUACGGAGGGGCACCACACGUUGUAACCCAUGACGACUUGAUAACAAUAGGUACGCGGGGGAGCCGACGGCUUGUGCCGGCGCUCGGGCGGCCGGUGUUGCGGUAUCUUGGGGAGGAGCGCCCGUAGUCAUGCCGCGGGGAUGUAGCCAUAUCGGUGAACCUCGUUAACAAAUAUCAUGCCUCGGUGUGUCGUCUGUGAUCUUGCAUUAGCGUUUUAUUCUAACAAGUGGUAUCAUGAGCAAGGUUGCGAGAAGGCUAUGCGGAAGAUCAUCCGGAGGUACGAGGAUCAUGCUCGACGGGUGUCAGGGAAUGUCCGAUUGGCGCAAGGUGGAGCAUGGCGGCGAUUGCGGAUGCGGUCGGUGGUGUUGGACACUUUGGGAAGGAGGCCUGGACCGUUCGAUGGGCUGCGGUCGCCGCCCUUGUACAACACCGAGCACAUCGUCUUGAUGCUCUCACACUCUGAUCUAUCCGGCCGUCCCCCACAUCUGAAGGUGGCGUCUGUUUCAGCAGGGUUGGCCUACAGUGUGCGCGCGACAGGGAAAGUUAUAGAUCGCUGGCGAAGAACCAAGAUCAGAUACAGAAGCUGUCGUCCGAACUAGUGGCGGGUGUUUUCCGAUGAACACGAAGUCGAGAGAAAGAAAGUCAAGAUUCAGUUGCUGGCGUUCGUACGCGAGACGGCCGCUGGAGCCUCCACUACAAAAAAAUACACUUCCGUGAUGAUACGUGUUUGUCACAGUAGGUCAUGUUUUCUGUCAUGCAUGUACAUCCAUGACAAAUUUAUGACAGAAUCAAGAUAGUCAUACUUGUGCUGUCGUAGAAGUGUUCCAUGGCAUUACCAAAAUUAUCAUCACGGAAGUGUCCACUUCCAUGACGAUAUAUCGCGCGUCACAGAAGUGCUUUCGUCAAGGGUGACCGACACGUGGCAUCCACUGUAAUGGAACACCGUUAAGCUAUCGGGACUGGUUUUGGAUCCGAUAACCCGUUAACAGCCCCGACCAAUGGGGAUUUUCCACGUGUAAAAUCAUCAUUGGCUGGAGGAAACACGUGUCGGCUCACCGUUGGGACAGAUGUCAUCCACUCAUUGGACCCAAAUCGCCUAUGAUACGUCGACAUGUGGCACGGCCCAACAAAGGCACAUAUAGGCUAAAAGGCUGGCCCAGUCAAAGGCCCGUAGUACUUACUCAGGUACUAGUGGGCCAGCCCAAUAACGACCUGCUUAAUAAAGGCCCAUUUACGGCCUGAAGCCAGAUCUGGCCCGUUAAUUGUUCGCCGAAUAUUUGGGCUCAUUUACAGCCCGAAGCCAGAUCUGGCCCGUUAAUUGUUCGCCGAAUAUUUGGGCCCAAUUACAGCCCAGUGACUUUCGGCCUGUUAGAGGCCCGAUGUAGACAUGGGCCCAUUUCAGCUCGGUGUGACUUUCGGCCUGGGAAUGGCCCGUCCUGCCCAUGGGCCAUAUAUGGUCCGACGGGACAUCAGGCCCACUAACGGCCCAUGAUAAAGGUGGCAACAGUUAAGCCCAACGUGACUUUGGGCUUGUUAAAGGCCAGUCGCAUAAUUCGGCCCGUUGAUGUCUGUACUAAGCUUUCGGCCUCUUAAAGGCCCAUGAUAUCAGUGGGCCAACUAAUGUUGGGGAACGUUGCAGAAAACAAAAAUUUUCCUACGGUUUCACCAAGAUCCAUCUAUGAGUUCAUCUAGCAACGAGUGAUCGGAUUGCAUCUACAUACCUUUGUAGAUCACGCGCGGAAGCGUUCAAAGAACGGGGAUGAGGAAGUCGUACUCGACGUGAUCCAAAUCACCGGAGAUCCUAGCGCCGAACGUACGGCACCUCCAUGUUCAACACACGUACGGUCAGCGUGACGUCUCCUCCUUCUUGAUCUAGCAAGGGGAAGGAGAGGUUGAUGAAGAUCCAGCAGCACGACGGCGUGGUGGUGGAUGCAGGGCGUCACCGCAGCAGGGCUUCGCCGUUAUACUGCGAGAGGGAGAGGUGUAGCAGGGGAGAGGGAGGCGCCAAGACUCAAGGGUGUUCUGCCCCCUUCCUCCCCCCUUUAUAUAGGCCCCCUAGGGGGGCGCCGGACCUAGGAGAUGGGAUCUCCUAGGGGGGCGGCGGCCAAGGGGUGGAGUCCCCCCCAAGCCAGGUGGGGCGCCCCCCCGCCCUAGGGUUCCCAACCCUAGGCGCAUGGGGUGGGCCAAGGGGGGCGCACCAGCCCACUAUGGGCUGGUUCCCCUCCCCACUUUGGCCCAUGGGGCCCUCCGGGAUGGGUGGCCCCACCCGGUGGACCCCCGGGACCCUUCUGGUGGUCCCGGUACAAUACCGGUGACCUCCGAAACUCUUCCGAUGGCCGAAACUGCACUUCCUAUAUAUAAUUCUUCACCUCCGGACCAUUCCGGAACUCCUCGUGAUGUCCAGGAUCUCAUCCGGGACUCCGAACAACUUUCAGGUUACUGCAUAUUCAUAUCUCUACAACCCUAGUGUCACCAAACCUUAAGUGUGUAGACCCUACGGGUUCGGGAGACAUGUAGACAUGACCGAGACGGCUCUCCGGUCAAUAACCAACAGCGGGAUCUGGAUACCCAUGUUGGCUCCCACAUGCUCCUCGAUGAUCUCAUCGGAUGAACCACGAUGUCGAGGAUUCAAGCAACCCCGUAUACAAUUCCCUUUGUCAAUCGGUACAUUACUUGCCCGAGAUUCGGUCGUCGGUAUCCCAAUACCUCGUUCAAUCUCGUUACCGGCAAGUCACUUUACUCGUACCGUAAUGCAUGAUCCCGUGACCAGACACUUGGUCACUUUGAGCUCAUUAUGAUGAUGCAUUACCGAGUGGGCCCAGAGAUACCUCUCCGUCAUAUGGAGUGACAAAUCCCAGUCUUGAUCCGUGUCAACCCAACAGACACUUUCGGAGAUACCCGUAGUAUACCUUUAUAGUCACCCAGUUACGUUGUGACGUUUGGUACACCCAGAGCACUCCUAUGGUAUCCGGGAGUUACACGAUCUCAUGGUCUAAGGAAAAGAUACUUGACAUUGGAAAAACUCUAGCAAACGAACUAUACGAUCUUGUGCUAUGUUUAGGAUUGGGUCUUGUCCAUCACAUCAUUCUCCUAAUGAUGUGAUCCCGUUAUCAAUGACAUCUCCAUGUCCAUAGCCAGGAAACCAUGACUAUCUGUUGAUCAACGAGCUAGUCAACUAGAGGCUCACUAGGGACACAUUGUGGUCUAUGUAUUCACACAUGUAUUACGAUUUCCGGAUAAUACAAUUAAAGCAUGAAUAAUAGACAAUUAUCAUGAACAAGGAAAUAUAACAAUCAUUUUAUUAUUGCCUCUAGAGCAUAUUUCCAACAGUCUCCCACUUGCACUAGAGUCAAUCAUCUAGUUACAUUGUGAUGAAUCGAACACCCAUGGAAUUUUGGUGUUGAUCAUGUUUUGCUCUAGGGAGACGUUUAGUCAACGGAUCUGCUACAUUCAGGUCCGUAUGUACUUUACAAAUCUCUAUGUCUCCAUUUUGAACACUUUCACGAAUGGAGUUGAAGCGACGCUUGAUAUGCCUGGUCUUCCUGUGAAACCUGGGCUCCUUGGCAAGGGCAAUAGCUCCAGUGUUGUCACAGAAGAGAGUCAUCGGGCCCGACGCAUUGGGUAUGACUCCUAGGUCGGUAAUGGACUCCUUCACCCAGACUGCUUCGUGUGCUGCCUCCGAGGCUGCCAUGUACUCCGCUUCACAUGUAGAUCCCGCCACAACGCUUUGCUUGCAACUGCACCAGCUUACUGCCCCACCAUUCAAAAUAUACACGUAUCCGGUUUGUGACUUAGAGUCAUCCAGAUCUGUGUCGAAGCUAGCGUCGACGUAACCCUUUACGACGAGCUCUUCGUCACCUCCAUAAACGAGAAACAUUUCCUUAGUCCUUUUCAGGUACUUCAGGAUAUUCUUGACCGCUGUCCAGUGUUCCUUGCCGGGAUUACUUUGGUACCUUCCUACCAAACUUACGGCAAGGUUUACAUCAGGUCUGAUACACAACAUGGCAUACAUAAUAGAACCUAUGGCUGAGGCAUAGGGGAUGACACUCAUCUCUUCUAUAUCUUCUGCCGUGGUCGGACAUUGAGCUGAGCUCAAUUUCACACCUUGCAACACAGGCAAGAACCCCUUCUUAGACUGAUCCAUAUUGAACUUCUUCAAUAUCUUAUCAAGGUAUGUGCUUUGUGAAAGACCUAUGAGGCGUCUUGAUCUAUCUCUAUAGAUCUUGAUGCCUAAUAUAUAAGCAGCUUCUCCAAGGUCCUUCAUUGAAAAACUCUUAUUCAAGUAGGCCUUAAUGCUGUCCAAAAGCUCUAUAUUAUUUCCCAUCAAAAGUAUGUCAUCUACAUAUAAUAUGAGAAAUGCUACAGAGCUCCCACUCACUUUCUUGUAAACGCAGACUUCUCCAUAAGUCUGCAUAAACCCAAACGCUUUGAUCAUCUCAUCAAAGCAAAUGUUCCAACUCCGAGAUGCUUGUACCAGCCCAUAAAUCGAGCGUUGGAGCUUGCACACCUUGUCAGCAUUCUUAGGAUCGACAAAACCUUCCGGCUGCAUCAUAUACAGUUCUUCCUUAAGAUAACCGUUAAGGAAUGCCGUUUUGACGUUCAUUUGCCAUAUCUCAUAAUCAUAGUAUGCGGCAAUUGCUAACAUGAUUCAUACGGACUUCAUCUUUGCUAUGGGAGAGAAUGUCUCAUCGUAGUCAACCCCUUGAACUUGUCGAUAACCCUUAGCGACAAGCCUAGCUUUAUAGAUGGUCACAUUACCAUCCGCGUCUGUCUUCUUCUUAAAGAUCCAUUUACUUUCUAUGGCUCGCCGAUCAUCGGGCAAGUCAGUCAAAGUCCAUACUUCGUUUUCAUACAUGGAUCCUAUCUUGGAUUUCAUGGCUUCCAGCCAUUUGUUGGAAACCGGGCCCGCCAUCGCUUCUUCAUAGUUUGAAGGUUCACCAUUGUCUAACAACAUGAUUUCCAAGACAGGGUUGCCGUACCACUCUGGUGCGGAACGUGUCCUUGUGGACCUUCGAAGUUCAGUAGGAGCUUGAUCAGAAGUAUCUUGAUCAUCAUCAUUAACUUCCUCUCUAAUUGGUGCAGGCACUACAGGAACAUUUUCCUGUGUUGCGCCACUUUCCGGUUCAAGAGGUAAUACUUCAUCAAGUUCCACUUUCCUCCCACUUACUUCUUUCAAGAGAAACUCCUUCUCUAGAAAAGAUCCAUUCUUGGCAACAAAGAUCUUGCCUUCGGAUCUGAGGUAGAAGGUAUACCCAAUAGUUUCUUUAGGGUAUCCUAUGAAGACGCAUUUUUCUGACUUGGGUUUGAGCUUUUCAGGUUGAAGUUUCUUGACAUAAGCAUCGCAUCCCCAAACUUUUAGAAACGACAGCUUAGGCUUCUUCCCAAGCCAUAAUUCAUACGGUGUCGUCUCAACGGAUUUCGACGGAGCCCUAUUUAAAGUGAAUGCGGCAGUCUCUAAAGCAUAGCCCCAAAAUGACAGCGGUAAAUCGGUAAGAGACAUCAUAGAUCGCACCAUAUCCAAUAGAGUGCGAUUACGACGUUCGGACACACCAUUACACUGAGGUGUUCCAGGCGGCGUGAGUUGUGAAACUAUUCCACAUUUUCUUAAGUGUGUGCCAAAUUCGUGACUCAAGUAUUCUCCUCCACGAUCUGAUCGCAAAAACUUGAUUUUUUUGUCACGUUGAUUCUCAACCUCACUCUGAAAUUCCUUGAACUUUUCAAAGGUUUCAGACUUGUGUUUCAUUAAGUAGAUAUACCCAUAUCUACUCAAGUCAUAUGUGAGAGUGAGAACAUAACGAUAGCCACCACAAGCCUCAACACUCAUUGGACCGCACACAUCAGUAUGUAUGAUUUCCAAUAGGUUGGUUGCUCGCUCCAUUGUUUCUGAGAACGGAGUCUUGGUCAUCUUAUCCAUGAGGCAUGGUUCGCACGUGUCAAAUGAUUCGUAAUCAAGAGACUCUAAAAGUUCAUCUGCAUGGAGCUUCUUCAUGCGUUUGACACCUAUGUGACCAAGGCGGCAGUGCCACAAGUAUGUGGGACUAUCAUUAUCAACCUUACAUCUUUUGGUAUUCACACUAUGAAUAUGUGUAGAAUUACGCUCGAGAUUCAUUAUGAAUAAACCAUUCACCAUAGGAGCAUGACCAUAAAACAUAUCUCUCAUAUAAAUAGAACAACAAUUAUUCUCGGAUUUAAAUGAGUAGCCAUCUCGUAUUAAACGAGAUCCUGAUACAAUAUUCAUGCUCAAACUUGGCACUAAAUAACAAUUAUUGAGGUUCAAAACUAAUCCCGUAGGUAAAUGUAGAGGUAGCGUGCCGACGGCGAUCACAUCGACCUUGGAACCAUUCCCGAUGCGCAUCGUCACCUCGUCCUUCGUCAGUCUCCGUUUAUUCCGCAGCUCCUGCUUUGAGUUACAAAUGUGAGCAACUGCACCGGUAUCAAAUACCCAGGAGCUACUACGAGUACUGGUAAGGUACACAUCAAUUACAUGUAUAUCACAUAUACCUUUCGUUUUGCCGGCCUUCUUGUCUGCUAAGUAUUUGGGGCAGUUUCGCUUCCAGUGACCACUUCCCUUGCAAUAAAAACACUCAGUCUCGGGCUUGGGUCCAUUCUUUGGAUUCUUCCCAGUAGCUUGCUUACCGGGCGCGGCAACUCCCUUGCCAUCCUUCUUGAAGUUCUUCUUACCCUUGCCUUUCUUGAACUUAGUGGUUUUAUUCACCAUCAACACUUGAUGGUCCUUUUUGACUUCUACCUCUGCUGAUUUCAGCAUUGCAAAUACUUCAGGAAUGGUCUUUUCCAUCCCCUGCAUAUUGAAGUUCAUCAAAAAGCUCUUGUAGCUCGGUGGAAGCGACUGAAGGAUUCUGUCAAUGACCGCGUCAUCCGGGAGAUUAACUCCCAGCUGAGUUAAGCGGUUAUGUAAUCCAGACAUAGUGAGUAUGUGCUCACUGACAGAACUAUUUUCCUCCAUCUUACAGCUGAAGAACUUGUCGGAGACUUCAUAUCUCUCGACCCGGGCAUGAGCUUGGAAAACCAUUUUCAGCUCUUCGAACAUCUCAUAUGCCCCGUGUCGCUCAAAACGCUUUUGGAGCCCCGCUUCUAAGCUGUAAAGCAUGCUGCACUGAACGAGGGAGUAAUCAUCAGCACGUGUUUGCCAAGCGUUCAUAACGUCUUGGUUCUGUGGGACGGGUGCGUCACCUAGCGGUGCUUGUAGGACAUAUUCUUUCUUGGCAGCUAUGAGGAUGAUCCUCAGGUUCCGGACCCAGUCCGUAUAGUUGCUGCCAUCGUCUUUCAGCUUGGUUUUCUCUAGGAACGCGUUGAAGUUGAGGACAACGUUGGCCAUUUGAUCUACAAGACAUAUUGUAAAGAUUUUAGACUAAGUUCAUGAUAAUUGAGUUCAUCUAAUCAAAUUAUAUAAUGAACUCCCACUUAGAUAGACAUCCCUCCAGUCAUCUAAGUAUAACAUGAUCCGAGUUAACUAGGCCGUGUCCGAUCAUCACGUGAGACGGACUAGUCAACAUCGGUGAACAUCUUCAUGUUGAUCGUAUCUUCUAUACGACUCAUGCUCGACCUUUCGGUCUUCUGUGUUCCGAGGCCAUGUCUGUACAUGCUAGGCUCGUCAAGUCAACCUAAGUGUUUGCACGUGUAAAUCUGUCUUACACCCGUUGUAUGUGAACGUUGGAAUCUAUCACACCCGAUCAUCACGUGGUGCUUCGAAACAACGAACUGUCGUAACGGUGCACAGUUAGGGGGAACACUUUCUUGAAAUUAUUAUGAGGGAUCAUCUUAUUUACUAUCGCCAUUCUAAGUAAACAAGAUGCAAAAACAUGAUAAACAUCACAUGCAAUCAAAUAAUAAUAGUGACAUGAUAUGGCCAAUAUCACAUAGCUCCUUUGAUCUCCAUCUUGGGGCUCCAUGAUCAUCUUGUCACCGGCAUGACACCAUGAUCUCCAUCAUCAUGAUCUCCAUCAUCGUGUCUCCAUGAAGUUGCUCGCCAACUAUUAAUUCUACUACUAUGGCUAACACUUUUAGCAAUAAAGUAAAGUAAUUUACAUGGCGUUUCUCAAUGACACGCAGGUCAUACAAAAAAAUAAAGACAACUCCUAUGGCUCCUGCCGGUUGUCAUACUCAUCGACAUGCAAGUCGUGAUUCCUAUUACAAGAACAUGAUCUCAUACAUCACAUAUAUAUCAUUCAUCAUUCAUCACAACUUUGGCCAUAUCACAUCACAAAGCACUUGUUGCAAAAACAAGUUAGACGUCCUCUAAUUGUUGUUGCAAGUUUUAUGUGGCUGCAAAAGGGUUCUAGCAAGAACGUUUUCUUACCUAUGUAAAAGCCACAACGUGAUUUGUCAACUUCUAUUUACCCUUCAUAAGGACCCAUUUCAUCAAAUCCGCUCCAACUAAAGUGGGAGAGACAGACACCCGCUAGCCACCGUAUGCAACUAGUGCAUGUCAGUCGGUGGAACCAGUCUCACGUAAGCGUACGUGUAAGGUCGGUCUGGGCCGCUUCAUCCCACAAUACCGCUGAAGCAAGAUAAGACUAGUAGUGGCAAGAAAGUUGACAACAUCUACGCCCACAACAAAUUGUGUUCUACUCGUGCAAGGAGAACUACGCAUAGACCUUCUCAUGAUGCCACUGUUGGGGAACGUUGCAGAAAACAAAAAUUUUCCUACGGUUUCACCAAGAUCCAUCUAUGAGUUCAUCUAGCAAUGAGUGAUCAGAUUGCAUCUACAUACCUUUGUAGAUCACGCGCGGAAGCGUUCAAAGAACGAGGAUGAGGAAGUCGUACUCGACGUGAUCCAAAUCAUCGGAGAUCCUAGCGCCGAACGGACGGCACCGCCGUGUUCAACACACGUACGGUCAGCGUGACAUCUCCUCCUUCUUGAUCUAGCAAGGGGGAAGGAGAGGUUGAUGAAGAUCCAGUAGCACGACGGCGUGGUGGUGGAUGCAGGGCGUCACCGCAGCAGGGCUUCGCUGUUAUACUGUGAGAGGGAGAGGUGUAGCAGGGGAGAGGGAGGCGCCAAUACUCAAGGGUGUUCUGCCCCCUCCCCCCUUUAUAUAGGCCCCCUAGGGGGGCGCCGGCCCUAGGAGAUGGGAUCUCCUAGGGGGGGCGGCCAAUGGGUGGAGUCCCCCCAAGCCAGGUGGGGCGCCCCCCCACCCUAGGGUUCCCAACCCUAGGCGCAUGGGGUGGGCCAAGGGGGGUGCACCAGCCCACUAUGGGCUGGUUCCCCUCCCCACUUUGGCCCAUGGGGCCCUCCGGGAUGGGUGGCCCCACCCGGUGGACCCCCGGGACCCUUCCGGUGGUCCCGGUACAAUACCGGUGACCCCCGAAACUCUCCCGAUGGCCGAAACUACACUUCCUAUAUAUAAUUCUUCACCUCCGGACCAUUCCGGAACUCCUCGUGAUGUCCAGGAUCUCAUCCAGGACUCCGAACAACUUUCGGGUUACUGCAGAUUCAUAUCUCUACAACCCUAGCGUCACCGAACCUUAAGUGUGUAGACCCUACGGGUUCGGGAGACAUGUAGACAUGACCGAGACAGCUCUCCGAUCAAUAACCAACAGCGGGAUCUGGAUACCCAUGUUGGCUCCCACAUGCUCCUCGAUGAUCUCAUCGGAUGAACCACGAUGUCGAGGAUUCAAGCAACCCCGUAUACAAUUCCCUUUGUCAAUCGGUACGUUACUUGCCCGAGAUUCGAUCGUCGGUAUCCCAAUACCUCGUUCAAUCUCGUUACCGGCAAGUCACUUUACUCGUACCGUAAUGCAUGAUCCCGUGACCAGACACUUGGUCACUUUGAGCUCAUUAUGAUGAUGCAUUACUGAGUGGGCCCAGAGAUACCUCUCCGUCAUAUGGAGUGACAAAUCCCAGUCUUGAUCCGUGUCAACCCAACAGACACUUUCGGAGAUACACGUAGUAUACUUAUAGUCACCCAGUUAGGUUGUGAUGUUUGGUACACCCAGAGCACUCCUACGGUAUCCGGGAGUUACACGAUCUCAUGGUCUAAGGAAAAGAUACUUGACAUUGGAAAAACUCUAGCAAACCAACUAUACGAUCUUGUGCUAUGUUUAGGAUUGGGUCUUGUCCAUCACACCAUUCUUCUAAUGAUGUGAUCCCAUUAUCAAUGACAUCUCCAUGUCCAUAGCCAGGAAACCAUGACUAUCUGUUGAUCAACGAGCUAGUCAACUAGAGGCUCACUAGAGACACAUUGUGGUCUAUGUAUUCACACAUGUAUUACGAUUUCUGGAUAAUACAAUUAAAGCAUGAAUAAUAGACAAUUAUCAUGAACAAGGAAAUAUAAUAAUCAUUUUAUUAUUGCCUCUAGGGCAUAUUUCCAACAACUAAGGCCCGAGAUAUGUUUCGGCCUAAUAACUGCCCGUGAUAUAACUAGGCCCAAAAAGCCCCAGUCUACAUUUCAGCCUGCUGAAGGCCCGUCGACGACUAGUGAUAAUUGAGGCCCAAUAUGCAUUUCGGCCUGCUAAAGGCCCAUGGUUUCAUCUGGGCCGGAACAUGCCAGUACAAUAUUCAGCCUGUAAAUGGUCCAACGCUACCUGGGCCAAACUAAGCGCUGGGUCCACAAAAGGCCCAACUAAAAUAUAGGCCAGUGUAAGUUGUGGGCCUCGCGCAAAGUGUGAAGGCCCCAAUCAUUCAUGCCCAAGAAAGAUGCAGGCCAUCCCAGUUGUGGCCCGCUAAACACCAGGCCCGUUAGAGGCGAAUGUUUUGGCCCGGUCGACUACAUCUGAUUUUUUUUUCAGAUAGCGAAUGAUGGCAGUAACUAGUGGGAAUUAAGAACAAAUCUACUCUAUACAAUAAAGAAAUUACGGCAUAGUAACUAAGAAUAAACCUACACUAUAUAAUAAAGCAUUUAUGGUAUAUUACAUCCACUGGGCAUCGAAGUUCUCCACCAGUGAUCAUAAAGGGCAACAAAGAAGCAGAUUACAAAAACUGGGCACCAUUGCAGUGUAACAAAAUAAUACUGAACCGAGACCACUUCCAAGACAGUUCAAAAAAGGUUAGCCUUGCGCGGGAACUACUGCGUAAGCUGCUGAGCAAGGCUGUGAGACUGGCCUAGCAUGUCAGUCAUAGCUUCCAGGUGUAGUUGUUUAACGAUGAGGUUCUCAUUGGUGUUCUCCGCAAUCUUUCUUAGAAAUAAGACUUCAAGUCGAAGUUGAGUUGCAGAAUGCCUUUCUGCUAGAACUUGGGACUGAAGAAGUCGAACUGAUUCAGACAAUGAAUUCUGUGAGCUUGUCUAACUGCUAGUCUCAAGUAACUUGAACACUGCAUCAAGACAAGACUUUGGGAUUGUCUCGCUAUCUUCAAGAUGUUUUGCCUUCUUUGCUGCAAUAUAUGUUGGGUUUGUCGCACAGCCUUCAGCAGACUUGUGCAUGCCAUCAGGCAUAUCACCCUGAAACAAAGCAGAGAGAUGACAUGUUUUGCACAUGUAUAAACAAAGAUGAUAACUGUGUUAUCAAUUCCAUCCAAUUUCAAAUUAGAAAAUAAAGAGUAAUUUCAAAAUAUCAAUAGCAUAAUUUGGCAUUGUUCAUAAUGCGGGGAGCUUCACCACACUACUGGAUUACCAUGUCAACAUAACAAGCAUAGAUGAAGGGCAAAGAAAAUCAUUGUAUCUAUUUUGGUUAAUAUGCAUGGCAUGUUGUUCAUAUCAUCAGCCACAUUAGUAAGAUAAAACAGGAGAUGACAAGGUGUAAAUGUGGGCUGCUUCACCACACACUGGACUAUAGAUCCACAAAACAAGCAUACAUAUAGGGAGUAUUAAGUAAUGUGCAUGGUAUGAAUAAGGAAUUUGUUUUUACAAGUAAAACUUAGAACUUACGGUUCUUGCGAACAUGCAUUUUGGUAGAAACAGCAAACUAAAUAGCAGUAAAUGAUAGGGAGUAUGAGAAAAUUAAACAACAAUUGAGGAUAAAGGCUUUAGAAGGACUGACUUACAUUAACAGUUGACGCCGGCUUAUAAUGCCCUUCUCCAUGUCAAGGGAAGGAUAACUCAAGAAUUUCAUCACAUAAUCUUCUUCAUAAGCAUUGCCUGUACUCUACAUUUUGUAGAGAGUAAUUAUAGAUAUAAUAAUACUAGAAGGGAAGAGGAUAAUGAAGAUAAGAUGCAGAUUGAUGCUACAUAAUCAACUACCAAUCCAGUACAAGCAUUACAUGACAAAAUGUACUAACAAGAGCAAUGGGCUACACUUCUGCACUGGCAUUGUCUGUGUAUUCUACUUUUUGGUAAGAUUAAAUAUAGAUCUGAUCUUUUUUAUUAAAUGAUGGGCAAGGGAGAUAAGAUGUAGAAUGCUACACAAUGAACCAAUCCCUCUUCCCAUAAUACAAGAGUGUUUUGAACACUAGUGUACUGUACAAAACGUUCUUAUAUUAUGGGACGGAGGGAGUAGCGGUUAAUGUACGUACAGUGAUAGACGAAGUUCAGUCCUUACAAGAGGACUGCAGAGCUAAACCUCUUCAAAAGCAUUGGGCUGAUUCUAAAUUUAUGUAAGGGUCCAUACAGAUCUUAUAAUGUCCACCAAAUGGACGACAACGAGGCUAACAUGUGCAGUGAUGCUACAUAAUCAAACAGCUAUGAAAGUAAGUAUGGUAAUACAUGGUAAGAGGUACUCACAAGAGCAAUGCAGUGUGCAGUAUAGUUGCGAGAUUCUGUGGUCCCUUGAGAACGAACAUUCUUCUACUAACAGUUUUCGUACAAGUGAGAUGCUAAGGCAAAUGCAGAAAUGUAGUUCAAAUUGUGAUGUGAUAUCAUAGAUAGUACCUUACGCUGCAACCGAGACCAAUGUGUAACAAGAUUAUUCCAGUCACCGUCGGAUAAAUGUAGCACCGGAGACUUUACAGAAAUUUUGUUUAGAGGCUUGCCAUUGAAGUGCGCUUGCCUCAAGUAGGAAUGGUACUUCAUCAACGAGUGCUUGAAAAGCGCAACCAACCCUUGCUCGUCUUCGCAAUCCAGUUUGGUCCUCGCCUAUUUAAAAGAAUGAAAUCUUGUGUCUUCUGUCAGUAGAAACAUAUACAGUAAUGACCAUGAAUAACAUUAGUACAUUACUUACGCGUAAGUUGCGGAGGAAGACUGGAAAUUGUUCUGUGUCUGUGGUAUAAUCUUUCCAUGAAGGAAAGAUGCACACAACGUUCCUGACAGCAAUAUAAGCUUUGUCUUCUAAACUGGGAAGAAAUGGAACAGGGGUCCUAUUUGCUGCAAUUAGGGCUCUCUCUGGUUUGAAAAGGGAUUUGGCAACUGGAUUUGGUGUACUCUUUGCUGGAAUGGGGGUUUUGCAUCGUACAGCUGGUGCUAUGUAAACUGGCAUAAUCAUAAUGUUUGAUGCAGUUGGGGUCUGCUGAGUUGGGGCAUAAAAAAUGACCAGUGUAGUAGGGCUAGAGUUUGCUAGAGUUGGGGUGUUUUGUGGGUCAGGUGAUAUUGCAACUACACCUAAUGGGCUAUUUGAUUUAUCAGGUGCCACUACCUUUUCCAAAUACUUUGCUUGUACUCCUCCACGAUCUGCAAUCGCCCUCUUCCUUUUGAACGUCUGAUACACAAGAGCAACAUUUGAAUGGAUAAAUAUGGUAUGAUGACAGAUGGAAUAUGUAUUGAAAAUGGAUAGGCAGGCCGUAUUCACAUACAUGGUGUGUAAACUAAGCUAAUGGCAGUUCAACAAAGUAGAAGCAAUGCAAAACAUCAGUUGCAAGAUAUGUGUGACAAAUAUAACCUUGGAAAGUUAGAGCAAGCACCUUGAUGGGUGAAUAAGAUAGGGCAUCUUCCUCUGACUCCUCCACUAGGGAGCUACAUUGACUUAGGUCUCCCUCUAGCUCAGAAUCACUGUUAGGAUCAUAUUCUGAGCAUGAAUCUGUAGGUGGAGAGCGUUCGCAUUGCAUUGCAUCCAGACUUGAUUUCAGUCCCUUAAUGCGAAGUUUGACAGCCAUGGCAUUGUUUUCCUUUAUUCUUUUCAUGCGCGCAAGCUCAUAAUCAUUAUGAUGCUGUUCAGAAUCUGAGAUUCAUGAAAACAUAAAAAGUAGUCAGAUUAUCUAUGGAAUGCAUUGUGGAUUGAACUCGAAAAGUGUCUCCCUAUAAACCCCUGCAUAUGCAAAGUUCACCCCCCAAACCGUGCUGACCAGAUCACACACAGAAAUACAAACCCCUUAUGUCUCUAUAACAAGUAGACACACAUUUCAAAACUGAAGUAGAAACAUUAGAAUUAUAUGAAAUUCGUAUUUGAACAAAUAAACUAAGGAAUUAUGAGUGGCAUAAUGUUUAGCUUCAAGCGUGGAGUGUUGGUAGUGCGACACAAAGCAAGUUGGUAGAUUGUAUUCCAUGUAAAAGAUCGAAGCCUAUGUAAAAGCUGGAAAUGACACUUUCUUUCUAUACAAUGCAGUGUUCGUUGCCCACACAUGAUGGAAGAGAUCACAUAGAGAAAUACUAUUCACUCAUGUCUAUGGUUGCAGUUUUUAGAAAUAGGGUGGUCCACCCUAAGAGAAUAUUGACAACAAAUAUGACAAGGCAAGCAUAGAUGUAGUGAAUCAAUCAUUUACUUGUGAGCUCACUAGGACAAGUAUGCAAAAUUGUAACUGCAGUAAGAGACCAUCCCAAAUCUGAAUCAAGAAGUUUUUCUAGCACUUAUUGUUUGCAACUAAUUGAUGUGAAUAAUUGGAUAUUAUAUCGAAUGAAUAAGAAAGACAAGUAAAAUUUUCAACAAACCUGGCUUGAAGUAGUAAUCUGGGUCAAUGUCACUACGACCAACAAUCCAAAAUGACUAGUGUUUGUUCAUAGGGCCAGAAUUUUGAAAACCCUGUGAACUUUACAGGUACUAAAGAUUAUCGAAAUACAUCUGAACCAUUAAGUGUCGGUAGCACUGAGCACACAACAAAACCUAAUGACAGUCCCGCGUAAUGAGUAAUGAAUCAAUUAGAAAAUGGGUGAUGAGGAGUGGUUGCUGAGUGUUGAGAACUGAUCUCAGGAUAAAUCGGGUUGGCUUAGUGGGUGUUGCACGCCUGAGCCUUGAACGGACUGGGAAGGUAGGCACGACGGCACGCCCCGGGCAGCGGUGACGUUGUUGGGCGAGCGGCUCCUGACCUCGUCUCCUCCUAGAGUCAUGUCGUUCGGGGACGGCAAGUCGCCGGCGAGGCAGGCGGCUAGGGGGCAAGUAGAGAUUGGAAGCGCGCAGCAGAACGGAGGGGAAUCGGGGCCUGGGACGACCCAAAAUCCCAGGGUGGACCGGCCCACCGUGGGCACCCUGUAGAGAUACACACCCGAGCGACGAACAUGCAUUUUCAAAACUAAUUUAGGAACAUUUAGCUGACCAAUUAAACGAAUCUGUUUUAAUAAUAUCAAAUUCGUAUUUGAACAACUAAGCUUGUUUAGCUUGAUGGUUUGAGCAGUGCUACUAUGGCACGAAGCAUGUAUUCUGAUCAUAUAGUGAUCAUAAAAGGGGGAAACCAAAGAAAUGAUAUUUAGCAGCCAUUGCUUGCUUCGAACUAAGAACUAAAUUCUAAGAGCUGAAAAUAAAGUAGAGUAACCAAGUUAAGAUCUGUUUUCUGGUUGAGAUCAAAAAGUUGAGGAGAUAUGAAGUACCACCUCUCUUGCCGCGCCGUGUAGGCAUCGGGGGUGCGAUGGCUGUCGGUGGCGUUGAAGCAGAUCUGCGAUGAUAGACGGGUGCAUCGGGGCAUAAGUCAUGUUGCCGUGGAAGAGAAGGUCGUGUGAGCGGCCCCGACAAAGAGGACGACGGCGCCGAUGAAGCGAGAGGACGUGAUGCAAGGCUCUUGGGCUGUCGCCGUGGAUGAGAAACGCCCAUCUCUAGCAGUGGACGACGUGGUCUUUGAUUUAUCUGAAUUUGUGUGUAUUUUAUUUGGUGCUACAAAAAUGUUCACGUUGUAGGAAAUCUUUUUCUAAUUUUUUUGAUAUAUAAUAUGCCUAUAUAAAGUUUUAUUUUUAUUUUCGUUUUUCAGUUUAUCGCAUUCUGUUUUUUAAAAAAAAAACUGCGCGCGUGCCGGAAGCUAACUGUCGCCCACGUGCGCAUCAAAGUACCAGCGGGCGCCCUAAUUUUUUUUCUUUAUCCUAUAUGGGCCAGGCCCAGCUAGUCUUUUCAGUUUUUUUUCUUCUUAGGCCGAAUUUUCCCAAAAAAAAAACUGCACCGCGCACGCUGCGGCCGGCCGAAGGCCUUUAGGCCCAUCGCCUCUUUUCUUCUCUGUUUCGUAUAUUUUCGUCUACGUUUAGUCCCACAUUGCCUAGUCUUUGACCUCUAAACCUCUUUUCCACCAAUAAAUAUAGACCCAUAGAGCCUCCAAAAAUCAUCCGAUUCGGGCUAAAUCAAUAUUUUGGUUUGACUAGAUUCAUUUAAGAAAAAUAUAUUUCUACUCUCCGGCGCGACUCCUAGAAAUUUUCUCUUCUCUUCAAAGUCAUCUUUUGUCUACCUUAUAAAGGUAUCUUUCUUUGUUUUUUUUCUUCUUAUACCUCUGUACUUUAUUAUUUUUAGACUAAUAUGAUAAAAUAAUUAGAUUAUCAAUUAGUCUACGUACUUAUACAUUAGACCCUAGCCGUAGCUAUUUUUUCUUCCGUAAAACAGCUUGACCCUAAUUUUUUAAAUAGCCAUAACUUUUUACUCGUUUGUCCAAAUCCAACAAAACCAACGCCCACGUCUUCGUUACGAUCUCUUCUAUCCAGAUAAACAACUUAAACAUGUUUUUGAAAAGUUUAAAAUUUAAAUUAGAUCAGAUUUGAAUUCAAACUUCGUUUGAUCAUAACUUGUGUUUCGUAGCUCCGUUUGAGUUGAUUCUUUUUGCAAAUCGAAGCUCUUGACCUAAACAUUUUAAUAAGGCCAAAUUCACAUAAUUACUGUUAGAAAUUGUUUUAUGUUGCAAGAGUUAUUUGCUUGGUUUUGAAGUUUUCCGAAUCGUCUUCUUCGUUCUUUCUUAUCUUUUGAGUGAUUGCUUAUGUGUGGUUACUAUUGUUUGCUUACGAUAGAUUGAUCGGAGUGUGACGAGUAGAACUAUCAAGAGUUUUGAGUGCGAAUCAUCUUCAUCAACAUUGCAGGCAAGUUCACACUUUGAUCAUACCUUUUUCUACAACCCAGUUUUAUUGCAUUAGAUCAAUCCUCACACAUUGCAUGAUUAGGAUCUAAUUAAAUUGUGGGAUGGGAAGUAGUUGAUGAGGUAGGAACCUAUUGCCCUGCAUUCAAACCUUUGGGAGUUACUUCUACGUUUGCUUACUAUGCCAUGCUAUGCUAGUAGACGUGGAUUGGAUGAGUGAUAUCCAUGACAGAUGUGAGAUUGAUAAUUAAUGGUUUAUCUAAGGUGGCAACUUAAACACACAUCUGGGUGGAUUGAGGCACCUGGGGUUUCCAGGACUUGCCUGUUUUUCUUUGGACCGCCACCCAGGCUCAAAGGGAUCAUGAGAUUAUUCAUACUAGAAACUUUCGUGUGCAGCCACAAGCCAUUAUGGGCUCUGGCAUAGUUGACUAAGUUGUGCGAACUCUUAUAGUGGUAGACUAGCAGAUGUAGGGGAUGUAGGUGGUACGGUCUACCCGAUCGUAAGGUGCUAGCGCUUCUGAAAGACUAUGUCUCGGUCAUCCAUCUUCUCAAACACCCUGUAGUGCGAGAAACCAAACGGAGGCGAUUGAGUCUUGUGGGGAAAAGUGCGCAAACCUCUGCAGAGUGUAUAAACUAAUCAUGAUUAGCCGUGUCCCCGGUUAUGGACAUCUUGAGUAUCUAGUUCUUGGAUUAUCCUGUUGAUCUCAUCACAUUACUUUAAAUUAAGUUUGUUGGGUUUAAUGAUGUUACUUAAUUGGGAUUGAGAAUGCUGUCAACCAUUCUCAAUGUUCAACAACCACCAUGAUAGUUAAACAAAAUUUAUUCCUUUGCAGUAGGGAAAAAUUGGCUUUACGCAAAAACCUUAUAACCAUAGAGCUUUUCCACCAGCCAAAUAUGCAUGUAGUGAUAGUCUUUAUUCAUCAUUCUCUAUGGUGUGAAUUUGCCAGUACAUUCAAUGUACUGACCCGUUUCGGGCUGCAACGUCUCAUGUUGCAGGUUUCUUACGACGAGUAAGUGAUACGUUAGGGUUACGACGAGUAAGCUGUGAUGGAGGACACACCCAAAGAAGAACCAAUUAAACCCUGCACCAAGUCUUGCUAUUCAUGUGGAGAAGGACACAUCUCCCAGAAUUGUUUGAAUGGGGAUUUAGUAGAAUUCCCGACAGAGGAAGUAGAGUAUGACCCAUUGGAAAUAGAAGCUCUGAUGGGAAUGGAAAAGUCCAGAAAGAGAAGUAGAUUGGAUUCCAGGAAGGACCUGAGUCAUAUCACCCGUUACAGGUGCAAGGAGUCAGGGCACUACCUCAACAAUUGCCCAAAAAGGAAACCUCGAUACUUGUUAGAAGUAAUAUGUUUUAGUGGUAAUGGAGCAGGGCACUUUGCCAGAGAAUGCCCCAAGGAGAAGGAAACUUGUGCUAGGUAGUUGAGUUUGCAACAAAAGUAAUGGAGUAGUAGAAGUGAGAACAUUUUCUUGAGGUGUUGAGUUGAGACAUGUAAUGGAAAAGCGAGAGAUUGUAAUUAAUUGAGAGUGAAUAAAGUUGCAUUGUUGGUACUGAUAUGGAUUUUAUGAGUUUUUACUCUAUGAAGAAGGAUUUUGACCAUUUUUGAGGAUAAGAGAAAUAUGGUCUAUGGAAGAUUUGUGCAUUUUAAGGGUGGUAGUACCCUGUAAAGAACCCUUGACUCUUGGAAAAGAUAAGGAUACUCCACUGAGUGGAUUUCGGACAAAAUGAAUAUGAGUUUUGUCUCGAUAUGUGCGAUACCCCAAGAGUGUGUGGGAUGAAGUUGGAGACGUCAGUUGUUUGGACCAAAUGUGAUCAAGGAGUCAGAAGAGAAUGUUCAGUUGAUUCGAGAUAGACUAAAGGUAGCUUAGUCCAGGCAGAAGAGUUAUGUAGACUCAAAAAAACUCAAGGAGGUAGUCUAUGAAAUUGGAGACCGAGCAUGCCUUCAUGUGUUCCCUCUGCGAGGAGUUAAACGAAUUGGAGUUAAGGUAAAGUUAGCCCCAAGAUUUGUAGGACCAUACCGAGUUUUGGAGCGUAUGAGAGAAGUGGCCUACAAGUUUGAGUUACCCGAAGGACUGUCAGGAGUUCAUGAUGUGUUUCACAUUUCCUAGUUGAAGAAGUGCCAUGCAGAGAUGGCCAAUAUUCCCCUGUAAGGACGCUUGACCGUGGAAAGGAUAAUGAUGUUCCACGAAGUAGAGUAUGGACUUCAUAAGUAUAAGUUUUUACCUCGGUAUGUGGGAUAUACCACGAGGAUGAAGAGAUGAAGUACUAUUGGAUAUAAAGGAGGUAUGAUGUUGGUAAUAUGGAGCAAUGGCAACCCCAUGACAAGUCUUAGUACUCACGUCUUGGUUGGGUGCCAAUAGAAGGAAGAAGACAAUACAAUUGGAUGGAUUCUAAGUAUGCUAGGAAGCUGGAAGUUGGAUGUUGGAAUAACGAUAAGUUGCCCGAUGAUAAGUUCAAGGACUACAAGUGAUGAAAUGUGCCAUAACCCACAGGCUCCAGGACCUGCCAAGAAGCAAACACAUUCUUGCUGAAGGAAAAACCCUGGAGGAAGAUACGACGUUUAUCGGCAGACGAUUUUAUAGGAGUAACGCAAAACCUGAGAGUUGUGAAGGAACGAUAGAUGUUUGUCUAGCUUGCAGAAUCUAUGGAUAUAUCCGAACUCCGUUCGUCGACAAGAGAAAUUCUGCAAUGCUCGUGAGGAUGACUGAGUGUUAGUAUGCGAGAUUCGCUAAACCGUAUACAAGGUAAUGAUUUGGGUGCGGGAUGGAUUGAUCACCAUACCGACUUACUCUUAUUGUUCGCCUUGAUAUAUGGGAUGGUAAAUCUGAGUGACUUACCUAUAGUAGAGAGACGACGAUCAAAACUCUGUUUAAACCUUAGAAUGGUAUAAGUAUUUUUUUCCCUUGUACAAGGCAGCUUUUGCCAACCGUAGGUUAUACGGUGAGGAUCAACCCAGACCCAUUUCCUGCAGGAGAAACCAUAAAUUGUUGACCACCAUGAGAUAUCGAUAGUUGUUUAGUUUUGGCGCCCGACCCAUCAGCUAAGAAGACCCAAUCUCGGAAUAACCUUACCAAGAGGAAAGGACAGAAGAAUUGAGGAAAAGGUUAUGCCACUAUCGGAAGAGCCAAAGAAGGAAUUUUCCGAGGAUUUGAGAAGACUGACACUGUUAACAAUAUGGAUGAAGUAUAUGAGUUUCGAUGGAGCCGUAACGAUGUUUCUAAGGAUGGUAGCAUCCCAGACCCCGGAGACGAUUGAUGGAUUUUGAAGACCCCGAACCUAACCUAUUUCUUUCUAGCCUCUCCGAAUCUCGAGGACGAGAUUCAUUUUAAGGGUGGUAGGUUUGUAACAUCCCAAAAUUCUAAAUUUUGGAAUGUUAUAAUAAAUAGAUAGAUUUGAUUGAUUGUUUGAUUGAUUGACUGAAAGUGAGUGAAUUCGCAACUCUUUGAAAGUUAAAUGAGAGGGAAUAAAAGGACUUUCCCAAACUUUCAUAUUUGCUUUCUGAUCUCCAUGAAUUCAAAUUCUUUUCAAACACAAAACCCCGGAGAGAAGAUGACAUGACUACUUCCAUUUAUUUAAAUGACAAGGGGUGUUGAAAAUAUUUGAAUUUCAUUUGAAAAUAUUUCCGAUUCUGGAACUUUAUGCAACUCAAUGAUUUUCAUGAGAGAAGAUAAAAUGACUUCUUCAAAUUAUAUGAAAUAUGAGUUGGGGGUUUCAAAGAAUUAAAUUCAAAGUUCUUUUGUAUUUAUUUUCAACUUGGAGUUAUUUCAGUUUUAUUCAAAUUAUUUUUCUCCAAAAAUAAAAUAUAUAAAAAUUAGGGUAACAUGAUUCCCUACAUUAGAAAAUUGGAGAAAAAUUAAUUUGAAAUCAUUUUGGUAUUUUUAAAAUGAUUUUUGUUGGAUUUUAAUAGACCAGUAGCACUCUUUGAUUUAUCUGAAUUUGUGUGUAUUUUAUUUGGUGCUACAAAAAUGUUAACGUUGUAGGAAAUCUUUUUCUAAAUUUUUCGAUAUAUAAUAUGCCUAUAUAAAGUUUUAUUUUUAUUUUCGUUUUUCAGUUUAACGCAUUCUGUUUAAAAAAAAACUGCGCGCGUGCCGGAAGCUAACUGUUGCCCACGUGCGCAUCAAAGUACCAGCGGGCGCCCUAAUUUUUUUUUUCUUUAUCCUAUAUGGGCCAGGCCCAGCCAGUCUUUUCAGUUUUUUUUCUUCUUAGGCCGAAUUUUCCCAAAAAAAAAUUGCACCGCGCACGCUGCGGCCGGCCGAAGGCCUUUAGGCCCAUCGCCUCUUUUCUUCUCUGUUUCGUAUAUUUUUGUCUACGUUUAGUCCCACAUUGCCUAGCCUUUGACCUCUAAAUCUUUUUUCCACCAAUAAAUAUAGACCCAUAGAGCCUCCAAAAAUCAUCCGAUUUGGGCUAAAUCAAUAUUUUGGUUUGACUAGAUUCAUUUAAGAAAAAUAUAUUUCUACUCUCCGGCGCGACUUCUAGAAAUUUUCUCUUCUCUUCAAAGUCAUCUUUUGUCUACCUUAUAAAGGUAUCUUUCUUUGUUUUUUUUCUUCUUAUACCUCCGUAGUUUAUUAUUUUUAGACUAAUAUGAUAAAAUAAUUAGAUUAUCAAUUAGUCUACGUAUUUAUACAUUAGACCCUAGCCGUAGCUAUUUUUUCUUCCGUAAAACAGCUUGGCCCUGAUUUUUCAAAUAGCCAUAACUUUUUACUCGUUUGUCCAAAUCCAACAAAACCAACGCCCACGUCUUCGUUACAAUCUCUUCUAUCCAGAUAAACAACUUAAACAUGUUUUUGAAAAGUUUAAAAUUUAAAUUAGAUCAGAUUUGAAUUCAAACUUCGUUUGAUCAUAACUUGUGUUUCGUAGCUCCGUUUGAGUUGAUUCUUUUUGCAAAUCGAAGCUCUUGACCUAAAAAUUUUAAUAAGGCCAAAUUCACAUAAUUUUGGUACUGUUAGAAAUUGUUUUAUGUUGCAAGAGUUAUUUGCUUGGUUUUGAAGUUUUCCGAAUCGUCUUCUUCGUUCUUUCUGAUCUUUUGAGUGAUUGCUUAUGUGUGGUUACUAUUGUUUGCUUACGAUAGAUUGACCGGAGUGUGACGAGUAGAACUAUCAAGAGUUUUGAGUGCGAAUCAUCUUCAUCAACAUUGCAGGCAAGUUCACAUUUUGAUCAUACCUUUUUCUAUAACCCAGUUUUAUUGCAUUAGAUCAAUCCUCACACAUUGCAUGAUUAGGAUCUAAUUAAAUUGUGGGAUGGGAAGUAGUUGAUGAGGUAGGAACCUAUUGCCCUGCAUUCAAACCUUUGGGAGUUACUUCUACGUUUGCUUACUAUGCCAUGCUAUGCUAGUAGACGUGGAUUGGGUGAGUGAUAUCCAUGACAGAUGUGAGAUUGAUAAUUAAUGGUUUAUCUAAGGUGGCAACUUAAACACACAUCUGGGUGGAUUGAGGCACCUGGGGUUUCCAGGACUUGCCUGUUUUUCUUUGGACCGCCACACAGGCUCAAAGGGAUCAUGAGAUUAUUCAUACUAGAAACUUUCGUGUGCAGCCACAAGCCAUUAUGGGCUCUGGCAUAGUUGACUAAGUUGUGCGAACUCUUAUAGUGGUAGACUAGCAGAUGUAGGGGAUGUAGGUGGUACGGUCUACCCGAUCGUAAGGUGCUAGCGCUUCUGAAAGACUAUGUCUCGGUCAUCCGUCUUCUCAAACACCCUGUAGUGCGAGAAACCAAACGGAGGCGAUCGAGUCUUCUGAGGAAAAGUACGCAAACCUCUGCAGAGUGUAUAAACUAAUCAUGAUUAGCCGUGUCCCCGGUUAUGGACAUCUUGAGUAUCUAGUUCUUGGAUUAUCCUGUUGAUCUCAUCACGUUACUUUAAAUUAAGUUUGUUGGGUUUAAUGAUGUUACUUAAUUGGGAUUGAGAAUGCUGUCAACCAUUCUCAAUGUUCAACAACCACCAUGAUAGUUAAAUAAAAUUUAUUCCUUUGCAGUAGGGAAAAAUUGGCUUUACGCAAAAACCUUAUAACCAUAGAGCUUUUCCACCAGCCAAAUAUGCAUGUAGUGAUAGUCUUUAUUCAUCAUUCUCUAUGGUGUGAAUUUGCCAGUACAUUCAAUGUACUGACCCGUUUCGGGCUGCAACGUCUCAUGUUGCAGGUUUCUUACGACGAGUAAGUGAUACGUUAGGGUUACGAUUCUACACUCAACUUUGCCGUUGGUGUUGAUGGGAAUCCACAACCUUGUUGCUUCCGCUAUAUGGAUUGAGGUAAUAUUAUUUACGUUACUUUAUACAUGUGAUUUACCUCUGUUAUAAAUCCUUCGAGUACUGUGUGUGUCAGCAUACCGAUCCAGGGAUGACACUUAAGCACAGAGACUUGAUCCAUUCGGGUCAGGUCGCUACAAGAUGGUAUCAGAGCACAUGUUGACUGUAGGACGUGACCCUAGAAACUGGCAAGCCCAUAGCAAAGAUUUUUCUCUACAACUUUCCCUUUCAAAAAGAUCUUUUACCUCUCUUCUCUUCUGAGCUUAUUCAAAAAUUCCCUUUAGUGAGACCAUACCCCUUUCCCCUUUUGACCACACGAAGAUUCGACUGAUGAGACCACCCCAAGAAGUACGAGAUAUCGGACAACUAAGGCCACUUCGGAAUGAAGAGUAUUUUCCGUGCAUCUGAAUAAUGGAAACUACAACGGUUGAAGGCCGAAGACAAGUAGAAUUUGAAGGCUCUGAAGAAUUCCCAGAUUUGUAUGACCUAGGAAGGCUACCCUUAUGGAACUUGGUAGACUAUGGAAGUUGUCAAUACCCGUGAUCAAGGUGUAUUGGAGAAAGACCAAAACAUGGAGAGUUGAGAACUCAAGGAUUUGUCAAGGAAAACCCUAAGGCAGGAGAUAUCAACUGUGGAGAGAUAGCUCAUGGAAAUGACAAGAGAACAACCACAACUAUCCAUGAGGUUAUCACCCGCUUAUGCUAUUGUCACCAUGCUGAGUUAAUCAUGCAUAUGCAUGGAAGGAUUAAAUGGUAGAAGGCUGAUGGAGCACCUAUCAGCAAGAUGCAGUUUUAAACUUAGCUGGUGUAUCACCAAGAUCUGGAGUAGUACAUCAAGAAGUUUAAGGUGGAGCUCCACGAAGCCGUAUUAGACAAGGAAGCAUUUCAUGAAGAACUCAGGAACCAAAAGCUUAAAGUAGCCAAGCUGGAGGAGCUACAACCUCGAGAUACCGGAGAUUUGUCAGGAACUGAAGGACAGUAGGACCAUGGUUCAUGCGAAGGAUGUUGAAACCAGAAGUUUGGAACACAACUCCAGAAUAUUAAAGGACGUCACGAGAGACUUCGCGUCAUAAGAGUUGAUCUGGCAAAAGAACUUGAGAAGGACAAGCAUGAUUGGAAGAAGCCAUUGGAGGCUUGAACAAGGCUUGAAGAGUUUGGAGAUGUUGAAGAUUUAUUGACCUUUAGAAAACCAAAUCCCUAUUAUAUACCUAUGUUAGAUGCGACAUUUGUGAGCUCUCAAAUGUUUGAUGCUUUUCCCGACAGCCACAAAUAAAAUCUGUCUUUUCAAAACUUUUGUUUGUAUUGUGUGUAUCCCUCUCUAUAUCUCUUAUCUCACCCCAAACCCAUGGACCCAAUAGAGGAUGAAUGGAGAUGAGCUUGUAUUUUCUGGACCGAUGAGUCAGUUGGAGACAGACCGAUGGAUUUAGAACAUGGAAGAUCACAUGUAGAAUAACCCUAUAGUUGGAAAUGAUAUGACCCAGCAUGCUCUUCUGUGCUUUGAAAGAGGUGCUGCUACUUGGUGGAGGAUGUACCAAACCAUGAAUGGAUGGCAAGGAGUAACCACUUGGAAAGAAUUUAAGUUGACUUUGCCAAAGUCUCGGUUUGUGUCCCAGAAGUUGAAGCCUUAUGGAAAGGAUAUGAAGAAACCUUGAGCAUGCAAGAUUUGUGGAGAAAUAGGACACAACCAUAAAGAACACAAGGAUGAAUGCCCGAAUUGUGAAGAAAGUCACCCAGUUGAAGAAUGCCCAACUAGGCAGAUUACUUGUUUCUUGUGUGAAGAUACUAACCACUAUCCUGCUCAGUGUCACAUUUACCCCAUGGUACAACGAACCAUCCAGCAGAAGAAAGAAGCAAUGAAAGGAGCCCUUAUGGAAAGUUUAGAAGAACCUGUGAUGAAGGAAGCUGUGAUGGAGGACACACCCAAAGAAGAACCAAUUAAACCCUACACCAAGUCUUGCUAUUCAUGUGGAGAAGAAGGACACAUCUCCCAGAAUUGUUUGAAUGGGGAUUUAGUAGAAUUCCCGACAGAGGAAGUAGAGUAUGACCCAUUGGAAAUAGAAGCUCUGAUGGGAAUGGAAAAGUCCAGAAAGAGAAGUAGAUUGGAUUCCAGGAAGGACCUGAGUCAUACCACCUGUUACAGGUGCAAGGAGUCAGGGCACUACCUCAACAAUUGCCCAAAAAGGAAACCUCGAUACUUGUUAGAAGUAAUAUGUUUUAGUGGUAAUGGAGCAGGGCACUUUGCCAGAGAAUGCCCCAAGGAGAAGGAAACUUGUGCUAGGUAGUUGAGUUUGCAACAAAAGUAAUGGAGUAGUAGAAGUGAGAACAUUUUCUUGAGGUGUUGAGUUGAGACAUGUAAUGGAAAAGCGAGAGAUUGUAAUUAAUUGAGAGUGAAUAAAGUUGCAUUGUUGGUACUGAUAUGGAUUUUAUGAGUUUUUACUCUAUGAAGAAGGAUUUUGACCAUUUUUGAGGAUAAGAGAAAUAUGGUCUAUGGAAGAUUUGUGCAUUUUAAGGGUGGUAGUACCCUGUAAAGAACCCUUGACUCUUGGAAAAGAUAAGGAUACUCGACUGAGUGGAUUUCGGACAAAAUGAAUAUGAGUUUUGUCUCGAUAUGUGCGAUACCCCAAGAGUGUGUGGGAUGAAGUUGGAGACGUCAGUUGUUUGGACCAAAUGUGAUCAAGGAGUCAGAAGAGAAUGUUAAGUUGAUUCGAGAUAGACUAAAGGUAGCUUAGUCCAGGCAGAAGAGUUAUGUAGACUCAAAAAAACUCAAGGAGGUAGUCUAUGAAAUUGGAGACCGAGCAUGUCUUCAUGUGUUCCCUCUGCGAGGAGUUAAACGAAUUGGAGUUAAGGUAAAGUUAGCCCCGAGAUUUGUAGGACCAUACCGAGUUUUGGAGCGUAUGAGAGAAGUGGCCUACAAGUUUGAGUUACCCGAAGGACUGUCAGGAGUUCAUGAUGUGUUUCACAUUUCCUAGUUGAAGAAGUGCCAUGCAGAGAUGGCCAAUAUUCCCCUGUAAGGACGCUUGACCGUGGAAAGGAUAAUUAUGUUCCACGAAGUAGAGUAUGGACUUCAUAAGUAUAAGUUUUUACCUCGGUAUGUGGGAUAUACCACGAGGAUGAAGAGAUGAAGUACUAUUGGAUAUAAAGGAGGUAUGAUGUUGGUAAUAUGGAGCAAUGGCAACCCCAUGACAAGUCUUAGUACUCACGUCUUGGUUGGGUGCCAAUAGAAGGAAGAAGACAAUACAAUUGGAUGGAUUCUAAGUAUGCUAGGAAGCUGGAAGUUGGAUGUUGGAAUAACGAUAAGUUGCCCGAUGAUAAGUUCAAGGACUACAAGUGAUGAGAUGUGCCAUAACCCACAGGCUCCAGGACCUGCCAAGAAGCAAACACAUUCUUGCUGAAGGAAAAACCCUGGAGGAAGAUACGACGUUUAUCGGCAGACGAUUUUAUAGGAGUAACGCAAAACCUGAGAGUUGUGAAGGAACGAUAGAUGUUUGUCUAGCUUGCAGAAUCUAUGGAUAUAUCCGAACUCCGUUCGUCGACAAGAGAAAUUCUGCAAUGCUCGUGAGGAUGACUGAGUGUUAGUAUGCGAGAUUCGCUAAACCGUAUACAAGGUAAUGAUUUGGGUGCGGGAUGGAUUGAUCACCAUACCGACUUACUCUUAUUGUUCGCCUUGAUAUAUGGGAUGGUAAAUCUGAGUGACUUACCUAUAGUAGAGAGACGACGAUCAAAACUCUGUUUAAACCUUAGAAUGGUAUAAGUAUUUUUUUCCCUUGUACAAGGCAGCUUUUGCCAACCGUAGGUUAUACGGUGAGGAUCAACCCAGACCCAUUUCCUGCAGGAGAAACCAUAAAUUGUUGACCACCAUGAGAUAUCGAUAGUUGUUUAGUUUUGGCGCCCGACCCAUCAGCUAAGAAGACCCAAUCUCGGAAUAACCUUACCAAGAGGAAAGGACAGAAGAAUUGAGGAAAAGGUUAUGCCACUACCGGAAGAGCCAAAGAAGGAAUUUUCCGAGGAUUUGAGAAGACUGACACUGUUAACAAUAUGGAUGAAGUAUAUGAGUUUCGAUGGAGCCGUAACGAUGUUUCUAAGGAUGGUAGCAUCCCAGACCCCGGAGACGAUUGAUGGAUUUUGAAGACCCCGAACCUAACCUAUUUCUUUCUAGCCUCUCCGAAUCUCGAGGACGAGAUUCAUUUUAAGGGUGGUAGGUUUGUAACAUCCCAAAAUUCUAAAUUUUGGAAUGUUAUAAUAAAUAGAUAGAUUUGAUUGAUUGUUUGAUUGAUUGACUGAAAGUGAGUGAAUUCGAAACUCUUUGAAAGUUAAAUGAGAGGGAAUAAAAGGACUUUCCCAAACUUUCAUAGUUGCUUUCUGAUCUCCAUGAAUUCAAAUUCUUUUCAAACACAAAACCCCGGAGAGAAGAUGACAUGACUUCUUCCAUUUAUUUAAAUGACAAGGGGUGUUGAAAAUAUUUGAAUUUCAUUUGAAAUAUUUCCGAUUCUGGAAUUUUAUGCAACUCAAUGAUUUUCAUGAGAGAAGAUAAAAUGACUUCUUCAAAUUAUAUGAAAUAUGAGUUGGGAGUUUCAAAGAAUUAAAUUCAAAGUUAUUUUGUAUUUAUUUUCAACUUGGAGUUAUUUGAGUUUUAUUCAAAUUAUUUUUCUCCAAAAAUAAAAUAUAUGAAAAUUAGGGUAACAUGAUUCCCUACAUUAGAAAAUUGGAGAAAAAUUAAUUUGAAAUCAUUUUGGUAUUUUUAAAAUGAUCUUUGUUGGAUUUUAAUAGACCAGUAGCACUCAUUGAUUUAUCUGAAUUUGUGUGUAUUUUAUUUGGUGCUACAAAAAUGUUCACGUUGUAGGAAAUCUUUUUCUAAAUUUCUUGAUAUAUAAUAUGCCUAUAUAAAUAUUUUAUUUUUAUUUUCGUUUUUCAGUUUAUUGAAUUCUGUUUUUUUUUAAAAAAACUGCGCGCGUGCCGGAAGCUAACUGUCGCCCACGUGCGCAUCAAAGUACCAGCGGGCGCCCUAAUUUUUUUUUCUUUAUCCUAUAUGAGCCAGGCCCAGCCAGUCUUUUCAGUUUUUUUUCUUCUUAGGCCGAAUUUUCCAAAAAAAAAAAAGCUGCACCGCGCACGCUGCGGCCGGCCGAAGGCCUUUAGGCCCAUCGCCUCUUUUCUUCUCUAUUUCGUAUAUUUUCGUCUACGUUUAGUCCCACAUUGCCUAGCCUUUGACCUCUAAACCUCUUUUUCACCAAUAAAUAUAGACCCAUAGAGCCUCCAAAAAUCAUCCGAUUCGGGCUAAAUCAAUAUUUUGGUUUGACUAGAUUCAUUUAAGAAAAAUAUAUUUCUACUCUCCGGCGCGACUUCUAGAAAUUUUCUCUUCUCUUCAAAGUCAUCUUUUGUUUACCUUAUAAAGGUAUCUUUCUUUGUUUUUUUCUUCUUAUACCUCCGUAGUUUAUUAUUUUUAGACUAAUAUGAUAAAAUAAUUAGAUUAUCAAUUAGUCUACGUAUUUAUACAUUAGACCCUAGCCGUAGCUAUUUUUUCUUCCGUAAAACAGCUUGGCCCUGAUUUUCCAAAUAGCCAUAACUUUUUACUCGUUUGUCCAAAUCCAACAAAACCAACGCCCACGUCUUCGUUACGAUCUCUUCUAUCCAGAUAAGCAACUUAAACAUGUUUUUGAAAAGUUUAAAAUUUAAAUUAGAUCAGAUUUGAAUUCAAACUUUGUUUGAUCAUAACUUGUGUUUCGUACCUCCGUUUGAGUUGAUUCUUUUUGCAAAUCGAAGCUCUUGACCUAAACAUUUUAAUAAGGCCAAAUUCACAUAAUUUUGGUACUGUUAGAAAUUGUUUUAUGUUGCAAGAGUUAUUUGCUUGGUUUUGAAGUUUUCCGAAUCGUCUUCUUCGUUCUUUCUGAUCUUUUGAGUGAUUGCUUAUGUGUGGUUACUAUUGUUUGCUUACGAUAGAUUGACCGGAGUGUGACGAGUAGAACUAUCAAGAGUUUUGAGUGCGAAUCAUCUUCAUCAACAUUGCAGGCAAGUUCACACUUUGAUCAUACCUUUUUCUACAACCCAGUUUUAUUGCAUUAGAUCAAUCCUUACACAUUGCAUGAUUAGGAUCUAAUUAAAUUGUGGGAUGGGAAGUAGUUGAUGAGGUAGGAACCUAUUGCCCUGCAUUCAGACCUUUGGGAGUUACUUCUACGUUUGCUUACUAUGCCAUGCUAUGCUAGUAGACGUGGAUUGGGUGAGUGAUAUCCAUGACAGAUGUGAGAUUGAUAAUUAAUGGUUUAUCUAAGGUGGCAACUUAAACACACAUCUGGGUGGAUUGAGGCACCUGGGGUUUCCAGGACUUGCCUGUUUUUCUUUGGACCGCCACCCAGGCUCAAAGGGAUAAUGAGAUUAUUCAUACUAGAAACUUCCAUGUGCAGCCACAAGCCAUUAUGGGCUCUGGCAUAGUUGACUAAGUUGUGCGAACUCUUAUAGUGGUAGACUAGCAGAUGUAUGGGAUGUAGGUGGUACGGUCUACCCGAUCGUAAGGUGCUAGCGCUUCUGAAAGACUAUGUCUCGGUCAUCCGUCUUCUCAAACACCCUGUUGUGCGAGAAACCAAACGGAGGUGAUCGAGUCUUGUGGGGAAAAGUGCGCAAACCUCUGCAGAGUGUAUAAACUAAUCAUGAUUAGCCGUGUCCCCGGUUAUGGACAUCUUGAGUAUCUAGUUCUUGGAUUAUCUUGUUGAUCUCAUCACAUUACUUUAAAUUAAGUUUGUUGGGUUUAAUGAUGUUACUUAAUUGGGAUUGAGAAUGCUGUCAACCAUUCUCAAUGUUCAACAACCACCAUGAUAGUUAAAUAAAAUUUAUUCCUUUGCAGUAGGGAAAAAUUGGCUUUACGCAAAAACCUUAUAACCAUAGAGCUUUUCCACCAGCCAAAUAUGCAUGUAGUGAUAGUCUUUAUUCAUCAUUCUCUAUGGUGUGAAUUUGCCAGUACAUUCAAUGUACUGACCCGUUUCGGGCUGCAACGUUUCAUGUUGCAGGUUUCUUACGACGAGUAAGUGAUACGUUAGGGUUACGAUUCUACACUCAACUUUGCCGUUGGUGUUGAUGGGAAUCCACAACCUUGUUGCUUCCGCUAUAUGGAUUGAGGUUAUAGUAUUUACGUUACUUUAUACAUGUGAUUUACCUCUGUUAUAAAUCCUUCGAGUACUGUGUGUGUCAGCAUACCGAUCCAGGGAUGACACUUAAGCAUAGAGACUUGAUCCAUUCGGGUCAGGUCGCUACAAGAUGGUAUCAGAGCACAUGUUGACUGUAGGACGUGACCCUAGAAACUGGCAAGCCCAUAGCAAAGAUUUUUCUCUACAACUUUCCCUUUCAAAAAGAUCUUUUACCUCUCUUCUCUUCUGAGCUUAUUCAAAAAUUCCCUUUAGUGAGACCAUACCCCUUUCCCCUUUUGACCACACGAAGAUUCGACUGAUGAGACCACCCUAAGAAGUACGAGAUAUCGGACAACUAAGGCCACUUCGGAAUGAAGAGUAUUUUCCGUGCAUCUGAAUAAUGGAAACUACAACGGUUGAAGGCCGAAGACAAGUAGAAUUUGAAGGCUCUGAAGAAUUCCCAGAUUUGUAUGACCUAGGAAGGCUACCCUUAUGGAACUUGGUAGACUAUGGAAGUUGUCAAUACCCGAGAUCAAGGUGUAUUGGAGAAAGACCAAAACAUGGAGAGUUGAGAACUCAAGGAUUUGUCAAGGAAAACCCUAAGGCAGGAGAUAUCAACUGUGGAGAGAUAGCUCAUGGAAAUGACAAGAGAACAACCACAGCUAUCCAUGAGGUUAUCACCCGCUUAUGCUAUUGUCACCGUGCUGAGUUAAGCAUGCAUAUGCAUGGAAGGAUUAAAUGGUAGAAGGCUGAUGGAGCACCUAUCAGCAAGAUGCAGUUUUAAACUUAGCUGGUGUAUCACCAAGAUCUGGAGUAGUACAUCAAGAAGUUUAAGGUGGAGCUCCACGAAGCCGUAUUAGACAAGGAAGCAUUUCAUGAAGAACUCAGGAACCAAAAGCUUAAAGUAGCCAAGCUGGAGGAGCUACAACCUCGAGAUACCGGAGAUUUGUCAGGAACUGAAGGACAGUAGGACCAUGGUUCAUGCGAAGGAUGUUGAAACCAGAAGUUUGGAACGCAACUCCAGAAUAUUAAAGGACGUCACGAGAGACUUCACGUCAUAAGAGUUGAUCUGGCAAAAGAACUUGAGAAGGACAAGCAUGAUUGGAAGAAGCCAUUGGAGGCUUGAACAAGGCUUGAAGAGUUUGGAGAUGUUGAAGAUUUAUUGGCCUUUAGAAAACCAAACCCCUAUUAUAUACCUACGUUAGAUGCGACAUUUGUGAGCUCUCAUUUGUUUGAUGCUUUUCCCGACAGCCACAAAUAAAAUCUGUCUUUUCAAAACUUUUGUUUGUAUUGUGUGUAUCCCUCUCUAUAUCUCUUAUCUCACCCCAAACCCAUGGACCCAAUAGAGGAUGAAUGGAGAUGAGCUUGUAUUUUCUGGACCGAUGAGUCAGUUGGAGACAGACCGAUGGAUUUAGAACAUGGAAGAUCACAUGUAGAAUAACCCUAUAGUUGGAAAUGAUAUGACCCAGCAUGCUCUUCUGUGCUUUGAAAGAGGUGCUGCUACUUGGUGGAGGAUGUACCAAACCAUGAAUGGAUGGCAAGGAGUAACCACUUGGAAAGAAUUUAAGUUGACUUUGCCAAAGUCUCGGUUUGUGUCCCAGAAGUUGAAGCCUUAUGGGAAGGAUAUGAAGAAACCUUGUGCAUGCAAGAUUUGUGGAGAAAUAGGACACAGCCAUAAAGAACAUAAGGAUGAAUGCCCGAAUUGUGAAGAAAGUCACCCAGUUGAAGAAUGCCCAAUUAGGCAGAUUACUUGUUUCUUGUGUGAAGAUACUAACCACUAUCCUGCUCAGUGUCACAUUUACCCCAUGGUACAACGAACCAUCCAGCAGAAGAAAGAAGCAAUGAAAGGAGCCCUUAUGGAAAGUUUAGAAGAACCUGUGAUGAAGGAAGCUGUGAUGGAGGACACACCCAAAGAAGAACCAAUUAAACCCUGCACCAAGUCUUGCUAUUCAUGUGGAGAAGAAGGACACAUCUCCCAGAAUUGUUUGAAUGUGGAUUUAGUAGAAUUCCCGACAGAGGAAGUAGAGUAUGACCCAUUGGAAAUAGAAGCUCUGAUGGGAAUGGAAAAGUCCAGAAAGAGAAGUAGAUUGGAUUCCAGGAAGGACCUGAGUCAUAUCACCUGUUACAGGUGCAAGGAGUCAGGGCACUACCUCAAUAGUUGCCCAAAAAGGAAACCUUGAUACUUGUUAGAAGUAAUAUGUUUUAGUGGUAAUGGAGCAGGGCACUUUGCCAGAGAAUGCCCCAAGGAGAAGGAAACUUGUGCUAGGUAGUUGAGUUUGCAACAAAAGUAAUGGAGUAGUAGAAGUGAGAACAUUUUCUUGAGGUGUUGAGUUGAGACAUGUAAUGGAAAAGCGAGAGAUUGUAAUUAAUUGAGAGUGAAUAAAGUUGCAUUGUUGGUACUGAUAUGGAUUUUAUGAGUUUUUACUCUAUGAAGAAGGAUUUUGACCAUUUUUGAGGAUAAGAGAAAUAUGGUCUAUGGAAGAUUUGUGCAUUUUAAGGGUGGUAGUACCCUGUAAAGAACCCUUGACUCUUGGAAAAGAUAAGGAUACUCCACUGAGUGGAUUUCGGACAAAAUGAAUAUGAGUUUUGUCUCGAUAUGUGCGAUACCCCAAGAGUGUGUGGGAUGAAGUUGGAGACGUCAGUUGUUUGGACCAAAUGUGAUCAAGGAGUCAGAAGAGAAUGUUAAGUUGAUUCGAGAUAGACUAAAGGUAGCUUAGUCCAGGCAGAAGAGUUAUGUAGACUCAAAAAAACUCAAGGAGGUAGUCUAUGAAAUUGGAGACCGAGCAUGCCUUCAUGUGUUCCCUCUGCGAGGAGUUAAACGAAUUGGAGUUAAGGUAAAGUUAGCCCCAAGAUUUGUAGGACCAUACCGAGUUUUGGAGCGUAUGAGAGAAGUGGCCUACAAGUUUGAGUUACCCGAAGGACUGUCAGGAGUUCAUGAUGUGUUUCACAUUUCCUAGUUGAAGAAGUGCCAUGCAGAGAUGGCCAAUAUUCCCCUGUAAGGACGCUUGACCGUGGAAAGGAUAAUGAUGUUCCACGAAGUAGAGUAUGGACUUCAUAAGUAUAAGUUUUUACCUCGGUAUGUGGGAUAUACCACGAGGAUGAAGAGAUGAAGUACUAUUGGAUAUAAAGGAGGUAUGAUGUUGGUAAUAUGGAGCAAUGGCAACCCCAUGACAAGUCUUAGUACUCACGUCUUGGUUGGGUGCCAAUAGAAGGAAGAAGACAAUACAAUUGGAUGGAUUCUAAGUAUGCUAGGAAGCUGGAAGUUGGAUGUUGGAAUAACGAUAAGUUGCCCGAUGAUAAGUUCAAGGACUACAAGUGAUGAGAUGUGCCAUAACCCACAGGCUCCAGGACCUGCCAAGAAGCAAACACAUUCUUGCUGAAGGAAAAACCCUGGAGGAAGAUACGACAUUUAUCGGCAGACGAUUUUAUAGGAGUAACGCAAAACCUAAGAGUUGUGAAGGAACGAUAGAUGUUUGUCUAGCUUGCAGAAUCUAUGGAUAUAUCCGAACUCCGUUCGUCGACAAGAGAAAUUCUGCAAUGCUCGUGAGGAUGACUGAGUGUUAGUAUGCGAGAUUCGCUAAACCGUAUACAAGGUAAUGAUUUGGGUGCGGGAUGGAUUGAUCACCAUACCGACUUACUCUUAUUGUUCGCCUUGAUAUAUGGGAUGGUAAAUCUGAGUGACUUACCUAUAGUAGAGAGACGACGAUCAAAACUCUGUUUAAACCUUAGAAUGGUAUAAGUAUUUUUUUCCCUUGUACAAGGCAGCUUUUGCCAACCGUAGGUUAUACGGUGAGGAUCAACCCAGACCCAUUUCCUGCAGGAGAAACCAUAAAUUGUUGACCACCAUGAGAUAUCGAUAGUUGUUUAGUUUUGGCGCCCGACCCAUCAGCUAAGAAGACCCAAUCUCGGAAUAACCUUACCAAGAGGAAAGGACAGAAGAAUUGAGGAAAAGGUUAUGCCACUACCGGAAGAGCCAGAGAAGGAAUUUUCCGAGGAUUUGAGAAGACUGACACUGUUAACAAUAUGGAUGAAGUAUAUGAGUUUCGAUGGAGCCGUAACGAUGUUUCUAAGGAUGGUAGCAUCCCAGACCCCGGAGACGAUUGAUGGAUUUUGAAGACCCCGAACCUAACCUAUUUCUUUCUAGCCUCUCCGAAUCUCGAGGACGAGAUUCAUUUUAAGGGUGGUAGGUUUGUAACAUCCCAAAAUUCUAAAUUUUGGAAUGUUAUAAUAAAUAGAUAGAUUUGAUUGAUUGUUUGAUUGAUUGACUGAAAGUGAGUGAAUUCGAAACUCUUUGAAAGUUAAAUGAGAGGGAAUAAAAGGACUUUCCCAAACUUUCAUAUUUGCUUUCUGAUCUCCAUGAAUUCAAAUUCUUUUCAAACACAAAACCCCGGAGAGAAGAUGACAUGACUUCUUCCAUUUAUUUAAAUGACAAGGGGUGUUGAAAAUAUUUGAAUUUCAUUUGAAAUAUUUCUGAUUCUGGAAUUUUAUGCAACUCAAUGAUUUUCAUGAGAGAAGAUAAAAUAACUUCUUCAAAUUAUAUGAAAUAUGAGUUGGGAGUUUCAAAGAAUUAAAUUCAAAGUUCUUUUGUAUUUAUUUUCAAUUUGGAGUUAUUUGAGUUUUAUUCAAAUUAUUUUUCUCCAAAAAUAAAAUAUAUGAAAAUUAGGGUAACAUGAUUCCCUACAUUUGAAAAUUGGAGAAAAAUUAAUUUGAAAUCAUUUUGGUAUUUUUAAAAUGAUCUUUGUUGGAUUUUAAUAGACCAGUAGCACUCUUUGAUUUAUCUGAAUUUGUGUGUAUUUUAUUUGGUGCUACAAAAAUGUUCACGUUGUAGGAAAUCUUUUUCUAAAUUUUUUGAUAUAUAAUAUGCCUAUAUAAAUAUUUUAUUUUUAUUUUCGUUUUUCAGUUUAUCGAAUUCUGUUUUUUUUAAAAAAAACUGCGCGCGUGCCGGAAGCUAACUGUCGCCCACGUGCGCAUCAAAGUACCAGCGGGCGCCCUAAUUUUUUUUUCUUUAUCCUAUAUGGGCCAGGCCCAGCCAGUCUUUUCAGUUUUUUUUUUCUUCUUAGGCCCAAUUUUCCCAAAAAAACUGCACGCGCACGCUGCGGCCGGCCGAAGGCCUUUAGGCCCAUCGCCUCUUUUCUUCUCUAUUUCGUAUAUUUUCGUCUACGUUUAGUCCCACAUUGCCUAGCCUUUGACCUCUAAACCUCUUUUCCACCAAUAAAUAUGGACCCAUAGAGCCUCCAAAAAUCAUCCGAUUCGGGCUAAAUCAAUAUUUUGGUUUGACUAGAUUCAUUUAAGAAAAAUAUAUUUCUACUCUCCGCCGCGACUUCUAGAAAUUUUCUCUUCUCUUCAAAGUCAUCUUUUGUCUACCUUAUAAAGGUAUCUUUCUUUGUUUUUUUUCUUCUUAUACCUCCAUAGUUUAUUAUUUUUAGACUAAUAUGAUAAAAUAAUUAGAUUAUCAAUUAGUCUACGUAUUUAUACAUUAGACCCUAGCCGUAGCUAUUUUUUCUUCCGUAAAACAGCUUGGCCCUGAUAUUUCAAAUAGCCAUAACUUUUUACUCGUUUGUCCAAAUCCAACAAAACCAACGCCCACGUCUUCGUUACGAUCUCUUCUAUCCAGAUAAACAACUUAAACAUGUUUUUGAAAAGUUUAAAAUUUAAAUUAGAUCAGAUUUGAAUUCAAACUUCGUUUGAUCAUAACUUGUGUUUCGUAGCUCCGUUUGAGUUGAUUCUUUUUGCAAAUCGAAGUUCUUGACCUAAACAUUUUAAUAAUGCCAAAUUCACAUAAUUUUGGUACUGUUAGAAAUUGUUUUAUGUUGCAAGAGUUAUUUGCUUGGUUUUGAAGUUUUCCGAAUCGUCUUCUUCGUUCUUUCUGAUCUUUUGAGUGAUUGCUUAUGUGUGGUUACUAUUGUUUGCUUACGAUAGAUUGACCGGAGUGUGACGAGUAGAACUAUCAAGAGUUUUGAGUGCGAAUCAUCUUCAUCAACAUUGCAGGCAAGUUCACACUUUGAUCAUACCUUUUUCUACAACCCAGUUUUAUUGCAUUAGAUCAAUCCUCACACAUUGAAUGAUUAGGAUCUAAUUAAAUUGUGGGAUGGGAAGUAGUUGAUGAGGUAGGAACCUAUCGCCCUGCAUUCAGACCUUUGGGAGUUACUUCUACGUUUGCUUACUAUGCCAUGCUAUGCUAGUAGACGUGGAUUGGGUGAGUGAUAUCCAUGACAGAUGUGAGAUUGAUAAUUAAUGGUUUAUCUAAGGUGGCAACUUAAACACACAUCUGAGUGGAUUGAGGCACCUGGGGUUUCCAGGACUUGCCUGUUUUUCUUUGGACCGCCACCCAGGCUCAAAGGGAUCAUGAGAUUAUUCAUACUAGAAACUUCCGUGUGCAGCCACAAGCCAUUAUGGGCUCUGGCAUAGUUGACUAAGUUGUGCGAACUUUUAUAGUGGUAGACUAGCAGAUGUAUGGGAUGUAGGUGGUACGGUCUACCCGAUCGUAAGGUGCUAGCGCUUCUGAAAGACUAUGUCUCGGUCAUCCGUCUUCUCAAACACCCUGUAGUGCGAGAAACCAAACGGAGGCGAUCGAGUCUUGUGGGGAAAAAUGCGCAAACCUCUGCAGAGUGUAUAAACUAAUCAUGAUUAGCCGUGUCCCCGGUUAUGGACAUCUUGAGUAUCUAGUUCUUGGAUUAUCUUGUUGAUCUCAUCACGUUACUUUAAAUUAAGUUUGUUGGGUUUAAUGAUGUUACUUAAUUGGGAUUGAGAAUGAUGUCAACCAUUCUCAAUGUUCAACAACCACCAUGAUAGUUAAAUAAAAUUUUUUCCUUUGCAGUAGGGAAAAUUUGGCUUUACGCAAAAACCUUAUAACCAUAGAGCUUUUCCACCAGCCAAAUAUGCAUGUAGUGAUAGUCUUUAUUCAUCAUUCUCUAUGGUGUGAAUUUGCCAGUACAUUCAAUGUACUGACCCGUUUCGGGCUGCAACGUCUCAUGUUGCAGGUUUCUUACGACGAGUAAGUGAUACGUUAGGGUUACGAUUCUACACUCAACUUUGCCAUUGGUGUUGAUGGGAAUCCACAACCUUGUUGCUUCCGCUAUAUGGAUUGAGGUAAUAGUAUUUACGUUACUUUAUACAUGUGAUUUACCUCUUUUAUAAAUCCUUCGAGUACUGUGUGUGUCAGCAUACCGAUCCAGGGAUGACACUUAAGCACAGAGACUUGAUCCAUUCGGGUCAGGUCGCUACAGCUAAAGGCCCACAAAAUUUUGCGGACCAUAAUGGGCUGGCCCAGCUAAAGGCCCACAAGAUUUUGCGGGCCAUAAUGGGCCGGCCCAGGUAAAGGCCCACGAGAUUUUUUUGUGCCAUAAUGGGCUGGCCCAGGUAAAGGUCCACAAGAUUCUUGCGGGUCAUAAUGGGCCGCCCCAGCUAAAGGCCCAUGAGAUUUUGCCGACAUUAAUGGGCCGGCCCAACUAUAGGCCCACAAGAUUUUGAGGAACCUAGUAGGCUGGCCCAUUAACUGGCUGCCAUGUUUUGGGCCAAAUGCCGGCCCAUAUUUGAUCCGGUCCUCUAAUGGCCUGCCACGCUCCGGGCCUAAUAGUGGCCCAUAUGAGAUUCGGCCCGUUAAAAGCCUACCAAGUUCUGGGCCAAAUUACGGCCCAGAUCAGGUCCGGCCCUUUAAGAGGCUUUGGGCUCAAUUAUGGCCCAUAUCAGAAUCGGCUCGUCAACUGGACACUAUGCUUUUGGGCCCACUUGCUAAAGGCCCACUUAUUAAUUUGGCCUGAUAUUAGUUUUGGCCUGUUAAGGGCCCGUUUAACAUUUCGGCCCUAUAUUAAAUUCAACCUGUUAAAAGCCAGUUGUAUAGUUGGGCCUAACUAUGGCCCGGUUUGCAUCCGGCCUGCUCGCAGCCGAUAUCUGAUUGGGCCAAACAAGGACCCAGACAAUUUUGGCCUAUUAAAAGCCCAUGAUUUGAUUCGCACAAUCAUGGGCCGGGGUUCAUUUCGGGCUGCUGCGUAACUAGUAGGAAUUAAGAACAAACCUACUCUAUACAAUAAAGAAAUUACGGCAUAGUAACUAAGAAUAAACCUACACUACACAAUAAAGGAUUUAAGGUAUAUUACAUCCACUGGGCAUCAAAGUUCGCCACCAGUGAUCAUAAAGCGCAACGAAGAAGCAGAUUACAAAAACUGGGCACCAUUGCAGCGUAACAAAAUAAUACUGAACCGAGACCACUUCCAAGAUAGUUCAAGAAAGGUUAGCCUUGCGGGGGAACUGCUGCGCAAGCUGCUGAGCAAGGCUGUGAGACCGGCCUAGCAUGUCGGUCAUAGCUUCCAGGUGUAGCUGUCUAGCGAUGAGGUUCUCAUUGGUGUUCUCCGCAAUCUUUUUUAGAGAUAGGACUUCAAGUCGAAGUUGAGUUGCAGAAUGCCUUUCUACUAGAACUUGGGACUGAAGAAGUCGAACUGAUUCAGACAACGAAUUCUGUGAGCUUGUCUGACUGUUAGUCUCAAGUAACUUGAACAGUGCAUCAAGACACGACUUUGGGGUUGUCUCGCUAUCUUCAAGAUGUUUUGCCUUCUUUGCUGCAAUAUAUGUUGGGUUUGUCUCAUAGCCUUCAGCAGACUUGUGCAUGCCAUCAGGCAUAUCACCCUGAAACAAAGCAGAGAGAUGACAGGUUUUGCACGUGUAUAAACAAAGAUGAUAACUGUUCUGUCAAUUCUAUCCAAUUUCAAAUUAGAAAAUAAAGAGUAUGUUCAAAAUAUCAAUAGCAUAAUUUGGCAUUGUUCAUAAUGCGGGGAGCUUCACCACACUAUUGGAUUACCAUGUCAACAUAACAAGCAUAGAUGAAGGGCAAAGAAAAUAAUUGUAUCUAUUUUGGAUAAUGUGCAUGGCAUGUUGUUCAUAUCAUCAGCCACAUCAGUAAGAUAAAACAGGAGAUGACAAGGUGCAAACGGGGGCUGGUUCACCACACACUGGGUUAUAGAUCCACAAAAACAAGCAUACAUAUAGGGAGUAUUAAGUAAUGUGCAUGGUAUGAAUAAGGAAUUUGGUUUUACAAGUAAAAAUUAGAACUUACGGUUCUUACGAACAUGCAUUUUGGUAGAAACAGCAAACUAAACAGCAGUAAACGAUAGGGAGUAUGAGCAAAUUAAACAGCAGUUGAGGAUAAAGGCUUUAGAAGGACUGACUUACAUUAAUAGUUAACACCGACUUUAUAAUGCCCUUCUCCAUGGCAAGGGAAGGAUAACUCAAGAAUUUCAGCACAGAAUCUUCUUCAUAAGCAUUGCCUGUACUCUACAUUUUGUAGAGAGUAAUUAUAGAUAUGAUAAUACUGGAAGGGAUAGAGGAUAAUGAAGAUAAGAUGCAGAUUGAUGCUACAUAAUCAACUACCAAUCCCUAGAAGUAGAAGCGUUACAGGACAAAAUGUACUGACAAGAGCAAUGGGCUACACUUCUGCACUGGCAUUGUCUGUGUAUUCUACUUGUUGGUAAGAUUAAAUAUAGAUAUGAUCUUUUUUAGUAAAUGGUGGGCAAGGGAGAUAAGAUGCAGAAUGCUACAAAAUGAACCAAUCCCUCUUCCCAUAAUACAAGAGUGUUUUGAACACUGGUGUACUGUACAAAAUGUUCUUAUAUUAUGGGACGGAGGGAGUAGCUGUUAAUGUAAGUACAGUGAUAGACCACGUUCAGUCCUUACAAGAGGAUUGCAGAGCUAAACCUCUUCAAAAGCAUUGGGUUGAUUCUAAAUUUAUGUAAGAGUCCAUACGGAUCUUAUAAUGUCCACCAAAUGGACGAUUACGAGGCUAACAUGUGCAGUGAUGCUACAUAAUCAAACAACUAUGAAAGUAAGUAUGGUCAUACAGGGCAAGAGGUACUCACAAGAGCAAUGCAGUGUGCAGUAUAGUUGCGAGAUCGUGUGGUCCCUUGAGAAUGAAUGUUCUUCUGCUAACAGUUUUCAUACAAGUGAGACAUUAAGGCAAAUGCAGAAAUGUAGUUCAAAUUGUGAUGUGAUAUCAUAGACAGUACCUUACGCUGUAGCCGAGACCAAUGUGUAACAAGAUUAUUUCAGUCACCGUCGGAUAAAUGUAGCACGGGAGACUUUACAGAAAUUUCGUUCAGAGGCUUGCCAUCAAAGUGCGCUUGCCUCAGGUAGGAACGAUACUUCAUCAACGAGUGCUUGAAAAGCGCAACCAACCCUUGCUCGUCAUCACAAUCCAGUCUGCGCCUCGCCUAUUUAAAAGAAUGAAAUCUUGUGUCUUCUGUCAGCCGAAACAUAUGCAGUAAUGACCAUGAAUAACAUUAGUACAUUACUUAUGCGUAAGUUGUGGAGGAAGACUGGAAAUUGUUCUGUGUCUGCGGUAUAAUCUUUCCAUGAAGGAAAGAUGCGCACAAAGUUCCUGACAACAACAUAAGCUUCGUCUUCUAAACUGGGAAGAAAUGGAACAGGGGUCCUAUUUGCUGCAAUUGGGGCUCUCUCUGGUUCGAAAAGGGAUUUGGCAACUGGAUUUGGUGUACUCUUUGCUGGAAUGGGGGUUUUGCGUCGUAUAGCUGGUGCUAUGUCAACUGGCAUAAUCAUACUAUUUGCUGCAGUUGGGGUCUGCUGAGUUGGGGCAUCAGAAAUGACUAGUGUAGUAGGGCUAGAGUCUGCUAGAGUUGGGGUAUUUUGUGGGUCAGGUGAUAUUGCUACUACACCUAAUGGGCUAUUUGAUUUAUCAGGUGCCACUACCUUUUCCAAAUACUUUGCUUUUGCUCCUCCACGAUCAGCAAUCGCCCUCUUCCUUUUGAAUGUCUGAUACACAAGAACAUCAUUUGAAUGGAUAAAUAUGGUAUGAUGACAGAUGGAAUAUGUACUGAAAAUGGAUAGGCAGGGCGUAUUCACAUACACGAUGUGUAAACUAAGCUAAUGGCAGUUCAACAACGUAGAAGCAAUGCAAAGCAUCAGUUGCAAGAUAUGUGCGAGCAAUGUAACCUUGGAAAGUUAAAGCAAGUACCUUGAUGGGUGAAUAAGAUAGGGCAUCUUCCUCUGACUCCUCCACUAGGGAGCUACAUUGACUUAGGUCUCCCUCUAGCUCAGAAUCAUUGUUAGGAUCAUAUUCUGAGCAUGAAUCUGUAGGUGGAGAGUGUUUGCAUUGCAUUGCAUCCAGACUUGAUUUCAGUCCCUUAAUGCCAAGUUUGACAGCCAUGGCAUUGUUCUGCUUUAUUCUUUUCAUGCGCGCAAGCUCAUAAUCAUUUUGAUGCUGUUCAGAAUCUGAGAUUCAUGAAAACAUAAAAAGUAGUUAGAUUAUCUAUGGAAUGCAUUGCGGUUUCAACUCGGAGAGUGUCUCCCUAUAAACCCCUACAUAUGCAAAGUUCACCCCCCAACCGUGCUGACCAGACCACACACAGAGAUACACACCCGAGCGGCGAACAUGCAUUUUUGAAACUAAUUUAGGAACAUUUAGCUGACCAGUUAAACAACUCUGUUUUAAUAAUAUCAGAUUUGUAUUUGAACAACUAAGCUUGUUUAGCUUAAUGGGUGGAGCAGUGUUAUUAUGACACGAAGCAUGUAUUAUGAUCGUAUAGUGAUCAUAAAAGGGGGAAACUCUAAGCAUAUAUUUUUUAGCAAAAGAGGGCUUCCCCUUUGAUUUCUAUUAAAGAAACCACCACAGAACCAACAUGAUCAAUUAAACCCUAAGCAUGAUCAAUUAAACCGUAUUAUGGCUGUGCCAUGGCAGAUUUGAAGCUGCAAACCGGAGAAAUGAUAUUUAGCAUCCAUUGUUUGCUUUGAACUAAGAACUAAAUUCUAAGAGCUGAAAGAAAGUAGAGUAACCAAGUUAAGAUCUAUUUUCUGGUUGAGAUCAAAAAGUUGAGGAGAUAUGAAGUACCACCUCUCUUGCGGCGCCGUGUAGGCAUCGGGGGUGCGAUGGCUGUCGGUGGCGUUGAAGCAGAUCUGCGACGGUAGACGGGUGCAUCGGGGGAUAAGUACCGUUGCGGUGGAAGAGAAGGUUGUGUGAGCGGCCCCGGCAAAGAGGACGACGGCGCUGAUGAAGCGAGAGGACGCGAUGCAAGGCUAUUGGUCCAUCGCCGUGGAUGAGAAACGUCCAUCUCUAGCAAUGGACGACGUGGUCUUGGUAGGCGCUCCGUCAUGGUGGAGGAUGGUGGCGAUGGAUUAGGUGGAGGACAGCGGCGAUGGAUGGGGUGGCGGACGGAGGCUGGUGUGGGAAUGGGGUGUUCUAGUGCGGACGGUGUAUGUAUGGGAAAAUGGAGGAAGAGGUACGGGGAACCAUGUUUUUGGGACGCGCCUGUCUGAAAUAUGGGAAAGUUACGAACUUAUCCCCCGUUUCAAAUUUGGACGUCUCGUCGGUUGGGGAUAGGACGGUAAUCUCGCAUCUCCCAAAUAUUUACCGGUAACUAUUUCGGGCGAGGAGAGGGUGUUUUGCCACCCAUGGUUGGCGCCCAUGGUGUAUGAACGGGGCUGACAGGUAGGGCGGUUGUGUCACGUCUGAUGGAAGUUACACAUCUGCCCCUAUUUAAAAUAUUAGCCUACAUCUAUUUCAGACAAGGAGAGGGUGUUUUGCCGCCCACCGUGUAUGAAUGGGGAAUGGAGGGAGAAACAGAGGUCUUUCGGACAAGCUUGAAUCAAAUGAGUUUUGCCGCCCAUGUUUGACGACCACCGUGUCAGAAUGGGCUCAGAGGCGGUCGUGUCAUGUCUAAUUGAAGUUACUAACCUACCCCUAUUUAGAGCAGUGGAAAUCGGGCCGAUGGAUUGUCCGUGUAAUGGGUAGACAGUAAUUUCCAUCUCCCAAACACUUGGCUUCGGGCAACCGAUGUGGGAGUGGACAUUUUGCUGUUUCUUUCGAAUUUUGGGACAAUAAGCAUCCACGUUUACCCUGGCAACUAAAUUCGAAUCCAUUUUGUAUUCCUAUUGAAUCUUUGUAAAUCAUUCUAUGUGUUUUUAUAUUUCUUCAAAAGGACGACAAAGAUGUAUUCCACUGUCAUAUAUGAAUAUAGUUUACAAAUGUUGAUACUCACAUUCAGAAACUAGAAUCCAGUUUAAGGUGAAUUCAAAUAUUUGGAACACUUCAUGUCCAACUCAAAUGUCACACGCAACAUAAUGUGUACUCCCAUUUAGAUAUGUACACAAGCGAUGUAUCAAGAUUCAAAUACCGAGUCAAUCAACCAAGAAUGUACGGAACUAACAGACAUAUAAACACUUAUAGAGUAUAUGGAUCUAUAAUAUCAACUAACAUACAUAAGCCAGGCCGCUGUACUUUUUUUGGCUACAACAGCAUCCUUUUUUAGCCAGCAUCUUGGCCCUUUCCGAUGCGUGCCACUUAUGGUCCAUCUAUACUACUAUUGCUGAAUGCACAUUCAGCCCGAUUGGCAUAUUUGUAGGUCUGGCACAACAAUCCAAAUGAAAUGUCUCUGAGUCUUAUCAAUUAAUACAGACUUGUGCUUAAAUAAAAUUACAAACAAAAAAAACAAUUAUUACAUGAUCUCUAAAACAAAUGGUUUGAUUGAUUACAUGAACAGACAACAAAAUGGUUAUUCAACUAUGGAAAGAACAUUUCACCUAUGAUUUACCAAGUAGGAAUUUAAUUUCCUUUUUUCCUUCAGGGCCUUAACAAUCUGGUCAGUCUCAGCUUGCUUCGUUUUGAAAUCGACCAAAUAUUUAAUGGUUGUCUUGAGUACUGCUCGUGAUUGUGCUGUUUGCUUCCUCAACAUGUCAACUUCAUCUCUAAGUGCAGAAGCAGAAUCUCUUUCUACCACUAGUUUAGCCUCUAGAGCAUCAGCAGUUGGCAAUUCAUAAUGCACAAUUGGGCCGAUGCCACUGCUGUGGGAUGAUGCAAUGUCCAUGGGGACCUCGCUCUUUGAUCUUGGGCUAACCUGUUUUUCCAUUAAAGUUCCAAUUGGAUUCAGAAAAGUUGAAGUUAGCAAAACAUCUCAACUGGGAGUUAUAACAACAAACCAGUUAAACAAACAAGGAAUUAAAGAGUUUCAAUUGGAUGCUGAAAAGUAGUUAUUAACAUCAUUGUAACCCGCUGUUGCAACAGCAAAGCAGUUAAACAAACAAGUAAAUAUUUAAGUUAAGGCAAACAGGUAAUUCUUAACAGUAAGUAUCAAACACAUAGAAAGGCGCAGUCUACAAUAUGAUUAACAGGCUGUGCCAUUAUGUAAUCAGUAGCAAACUAAAUUAAGCCAAGCAACGUAAUUGAACAAUUUUGCAAUAAGUGGCUAACUAAAAUUCCGAGAAGCAGGUAACUGAACUUACGCUAGUUUGUACAGGCACAAUGCAACUUCUUUUUUCGCUUACAAGGUUGUACGAAGGAGUCCAUGGCAUCAAUUGCUUGGAUACGCAGUCCCAAUACUUCUUUCUUCCCACACUGCAUGGGUAAGUCGAAUGGUUAAUCUGGUAAGAUGGUGCGUCCUUGAUAUGUUAUAUGAGGACGUGUAGUCAGACUAGUUGUAGCCAAACACAGCACACUGACUUUUACUGUAUAUUUCAUACGAUUACUUUUGGCAUAUCGAGAUCUAAGCAAUCUACAAUAGGAUGAAAAGACUGGCAUCCUUCACAUUAUUGGCGAACUUAGUUCAUAGAAACAAGCAAUUCAACCAUUCCGUGGGUAAAUCAAAAGCGCCACUGGAAUAUUUUUCACUACCCAAUCAUACACGCAAAAAGGGGCGACACCACCAUAGGGGCUGGUAUGGGCGGCCGCCUCAGGUGGCUGGAAAGUGUGCACCUAGUUUGAGUCGUCCAGGUUGGCCCAUGCUAGUUUUGUUCGUCCCAACGCACGAGCAGGCAAUGUAAAAAAUGAAGAAAAAUGUUUCAAUUUGGAUGGACUAAUAACAUAAGUGCAAGGCAGGCCCUAUAGCAGGCUCAUGGCCCAAACGAGCGCCUCCCAUAUCGAUCGACAGUAGGAAAAAUCCCAAUUCAUUCGCUCCAGCCUCCAGUCUGGUUUGCUCCUAACCUAGCCUCCGCUGGACGGACCGACACAACACUUCCUCGCGCCCUCGUUGGAGGGCGGUCGCCAGGCUUUAAGCGAACGGAAGGACAAUAAGAUGAAGAUCCAACCCUGGGUGUAGCCUGCGUGGGAGGCAGCGGCGGCAGCACGGGCAUGGCAUUGAGCUUGCGCAAACGGACAGUCGCAGCUUGCAAGAGUAGCAUGCGCAACGAGCAGGUACAUCACAUCCCUGAUUAUAUCUAAUUCAACUCUUCAAUUUCUGGCCAAUAGUUAAACCUGACGGUGUUCUAAAACUGCUUGUAUGUAGGGAAUCUAUGAGAAAAUGAAACCAAUUUCUACUUAUUUUAUAACUCCCCCAAUCAAUACUGAACUGACUGAAUCUGAUGUAUCUAAUCAAGUUUCCGGUGCAAACAUACAAGCUCAUGUUGUUCUUGAGCCUGAAGUGUCUAAUGAACAGAAUGCUAAUGAAGGAUUUGGUGCAAACAUUUUACAUGCUCAUGGUGAUGAACAUAUAGUGUCUUAUGAGGGAUCUAAUGCAAGCAUUUUGCAAGCUCAUUGAAGGAUUUAGUGUCUAAUGAUGAUCUACUAUGUUGAGAGAGACAGAAAUUUGCAGGCAUUGAUGACAAGCAAAUUAUAGCGCAUUUUUAUAGCUUGAGGAAACGUCGAGGCCAUCUACCAGAAAGUUCCCGUAUCAUGACAACAUAGCAUAAAUACUUUUCUAAUCUGUUGUUUGAAACUAUUGGCAUACUUGUGCAGGAUAGAUAUAUUGAUAUGCAGUUUGCGCACUGGUUAUACGUGCAAUUACACUUCGAUAUUUUCAGCCAAAGAACGAAUAAUUCAAGCAGGUACAGACCAUGUUUGUAGUCCUUGUACACCAUGUUGCAUUUUGUGUUUUUUGGUGCUUGCAUCAUUUAGUGUUUAUAAUCUGAACUACUUUGGAUCAUUAGCUGGUUUUCAAAGUGCAUGUAGCUUCACAUUUCUCAAGUUAUGUUGAUUUCCGAAGUGCAAGUGCCUUCGUAUUGUUUAAGUUAAAUGUUCGCCCCUGGUAACUUGAAUUCGUGGAUCAGCCACUGCACACAAAUCAUACACGAAUGCCAGUAUGAAUUGAAUGAAAUGCAGGGACUUACGCUAGCUCAUUGUAAAGGCUCACUUCAGCUCUGCUUGCGCUUGGGAUGUUCCAUGUACAAGUCCAUGUUACCACUUGCUUGGAUGUGCAGGCCUUGUGCUCCUUGCAUCCCCCUCUGCAUUUUUGACACGGCGAAUGGUUGAUCAAAUAAGAGGAAUCGACCUUGAUGUUGUACCGAAGGACAUAUACUUACAAGGUUAUACGGGUGUGCAGGAUGUGUACCAGAUCCCGUAGCGCCGUCAUGCUUCGCUAAAAUAUGGAUUUGCUUGUUUCAGAUGAUACCUCCAGAAGAAAUAAGAGUUAAGGUCAUAGUUGCAUAGGCGGGCAAGCUAAGAGAGCAGUGAAAGGAUAUCCAAACAUCGUCGGAACAGUGCACAAGGGAGUGAUGCGUGGAUACCUAGUUCGGGCCGGCGUUUGGGCAUGCUCGCCUAGCUAGAGGGCGGGUCACUUCAGAGCCGUUGAGGGUGAUGCACUGGCGUUGGCUAGCCGCGCAUGGAUGCAGAUCUUGAGUGGCAGCGGAGCGCUACGAUGCGGUGGACGAGACCGUUGGUGAAGCCCCAACGGCCUCGGGGGGCGGAGGUGUGACGAUGUGCUCGGUGAAGUAGCCCCGGUGAGCUGGGAGACGGCGUCGGUGAAGCGCACCUGAUGCGGUGGAACUCGGUGUCUGUGAGGCACGUCGGUUGCGGCGGCCGACGUUGUCAGUGGACCACCCGGUGCGGUGGACGAGGGCGUAGAUGAGGUAGCUCCGGUGCGGUGGUGAAGCGCGACCGUCGUCUUCGUCGUCGUCGUCCGGCACAGAGGUGGGGAACGGUGGGGAAAGAGACGAGACGAGGGGCGAUUCGAGGGUUGGCGGCGAAUUAGGGAUUUGAGCAAUCUGGGCGCGGAAGGGGACGAUGGGGAAGAGAGAUUUUGCAGUGCUGGAAUUGGGGCCGCCAGAUAUUUCAAUCCGAAACGUGGAAGCGCGAACUUAUAUUGUCGUCGUCCUUUUUUUGGGGGGGGGGGAGGGGGGUGGGUGGCUGGGUGCUACGCGUCCGUCCGACACACGCGACCACCCCGACAGGACUAUGCUUCGGUGCCUUAAGGCACCUGCCUUUGUGUCCAUGACAUAUGGGCCCAACAGGUGGUUGGCCCACAUGUCAGUGACCAAAAGGCAGUUACCUUUAAGGCACCGAAGCAACGUCCACCCCGACACGACCCUGGUUUGCCUGGUGCCCCUACAUUUGAGAAUGCAAACGAAUCUUCUUUCAUUUGCAAAUGAAUCUGUAUGUAUUACCAUGCCCGUGUUUUCCUUGCAAUAAUUAGUCAUUCGAAAUGAGAUACUCCAUCCGCUCACUUUUGUAAGUCAUUUCAGACAACUUAAAAUGAACUAUUUUGCACAUUGUCUGAAAUGUCUUCAAGGUCUUAUAAAAGUGAACAGAGGGAGUACUAUAAAUUAAUUAAUGAGGAGUUAUUUGAAAAAAAUAUCGAAACGGUACCCACGCUAACGUGGAUUAGAGUGUGUGUCACAUAAUUAGUUAUUUGAAUUCGAGUGUGUGUCACGUAGUUAGUUAUUUGAAUUAGAGUGUGUGUCACGUAGCGAUCUCCAAUUCUAACGUGGAUUUCGCAUUUCACUGUAUCCACGCUACUUUUUUAAUACAAAUUCAUAUGUAUAUGAUGAACACCAUGGUAGUGAGAAAACUUUUGGAUGGAUUCAAACAUAUGACCUACAAAAUAGCACAACAAACUAAGUCAAUGUUAACUUUUCGAAACUUAGUAUGGCACGAAUUCGAAAUAAUUACCCGUAUACCUGGUCCUCGGUUCAAAUCUUACAAUAUACACCAAAUUGAAACAUCGAUAUUAAGUCUCGUACUAUGUACAUUCAAAUGUUGUUUUUAGCCCCCCCCCUCGCACAAACCCUACAUACUUCCUGUAUCAGUCAAUCUUCCUCUCCUAACCACCUUAGGAAGCUAUCGGUUUCCAACACACGUUCAUUCUUUCUCUCCAUGUUUCGAUCUCUUAGUCUCUCAACUACACAUCAACCCCUUUUCCCACUCUGUUACCAAAUGUAUUUACCUCACACACCCGCCAUUUCACCCCAUGCUGAGCUCUCUCUCUAUCCCCCUCUCCCUCUCACCCUCUCGCGCUAAAUACAUGCAUUGCCUAUCUAGCCCCCCAACCUCUCGUGCAUGCGCACGCACGCACGUUGUAUAUCUAGGUCACUCCCUCGAGACUGUCUCACUCUUUCUUCCACACGGCGGGCCACACUCGCUCAACCUCGUUUUCUUUCACACACAAAUGAUAUAUCCCCCUGUUCGGGCCUCGAUCGACAUAAUCUAUACUCUCUCACGCAGAUUGUCUAUCUAGGUCAGUCCAUCCAAGCCGCCACCACUCUUUCGACCUCAUGGUGGGCCACACUCACUCAAUCUCUCUCUCUCUCUCCGUAUGUCUCGAUUGACCUCGCUCUUUCUCGGACAAAAACGAUAUAUCACCAUGUUGAGCCCAAUUCGACCUAUUCACAUUGUAUACUCUCUCACGCACAUCGUCUAUCUAGGUCACUCUCUCCAACCCGUCUCACUCUUUCGAUCGCACAACGACCCUAUGUGAUCGGUUGACCUUGCUUCCUCUCAUGCACAAAAUAUAUCUACACGUCUGUGACUGGAUCAUCUCUCAAGCUCAAUCGGAUAAUAUCUCUCCAGAGCAUAUAUAUUUGUUCAAUGAAUGUCGGACCACACUCACUUUGUCUCUCUAUCUAUAUGUCUCUCGAUUGACCUCGCUUUCUCACACCAUAUCUUCCACGCGUUGAAGCUACUACCUCUCCAUGCCUCGCAAAGCCGGAGCUAUUUACAUUGCGAGGGGCACUCCAACCUUGGACUAAUUUGUGUAGGCAUUUAUUCCGGUCGGUUUAGAUUAUAUUUUCGUAGCAUUCGUCCCACAACUACUCCAAUCACCGUAGCGGGUAAUUAAGCUACGAGGAGCACCUAAUAUGAGCACCGGGGAGCCGUUGGAUUGAAGAUGCAGCGGUACACACGAGGCCUGAAUGUUUUAUUUGCAAAAGAACCUUUGGAGAGUUAGUAAAUUGCGCAUAAUUACAAAGACUACUCCCAAGCCAUUGGAUCUCACUUCCAACGGUGUAAAAACUCAUAUCACCAUAGUAUCUAAGCUGCGGGGUGGAUGUGAUAUUCUAUGCCACUGUCAUUUUUGUUCGUAAACUUGCAAAAAACGUGUAACUCGUGCCGUUACUUGUCUAACCGGGCAAAGUGUUUGUUCAAAAAAACCAUCCUACACUGAAAUAUCGGAACAACACAUGGGGGUCCCACUUGUCAUUAAUCAAAUUUGGACCUAAACUAACAAAUCUGAAAGACGAGAUUCGAACUGGCAACCUGGACUACAAAGCGUAAGUCGAUAGGCUGAAAAAAUGAACGGUUGUUGGCUUUGUCCCAUAACUUGAUUUUAUACAAUACUUGCAUUGAGUAGAGUAGAGGGAGUGCCUCGUCAACACAUGCAUGACCGUUAUCUCACUUACUGGUGGGUCCCAGGUCUGCGAUCUCAAUCUCUCUUCUCUCCAUCGUCUAACCUUUGCACGGGCACACACGAAGAGCGGUGCUAGCUUGCCGUGGUGUUAUUACAACUAAAAAAACUUGGAAAAUAGAAGAAUCGCCUAGAACAAGAGAUGUUGUGGCUGGUCGAGACAGAGCUAACCACAUCUAUCCUCCGUGCCACGUUUGCAUGAUGAAGCUGUGUGGCUAGUGGGGUGUUUUCAACCGACUGGCUGGGUCCUGAGGUCGAACCAUAGGUACUCUACUACGUCUGAUACAGUAUAUUUUUACACGCACAUUUUUCCUCUGUGCCGAGACGUGGCACACCCUACCGCGCGGUUUUGGGGUCCUCCCGGGUGGUGCACACAUAUAUUCUUCCUGACGUGGGACGCCCUACCGUGCGUUUUCUGGGUCCUCCUCGGUCGUAGCGCCGAAGCAAGUAAAUGAGUCGUCAAAUCACGAAAGACCACCUUUCCCGCCGAGUACAUCAGUGAAGCACGAUGGCUAGCUAGUUGGGCUAGUUCGACCGAUUAGCUAGGCCGCCACCACAUUUGUUUUUUCACCCCUUUUUUAAUCUACUUGCCGGCAGGUAAAUUUAAAUAUCCACCGCGGCGUUGCUCUGGUGUUUGGGUGCGAUAGGAUUUUUAAUUUUGUGAUUGACGGGAGCAGGCGCGACAGGAUUUUUAAUUUUUUGAUUGACGGGAGCAGGCGCGGCAGCAAUUAGUCACGAUGACUCCGCCCGUGCCCACUGCCCCCUGAUGUGAGAAGUCGUCGAUUGGUGUUUUACCGUGGUGAAAACCAAAAGAUUCCUCGCUACCUCCGCCUUCCCGUAGAUUGCAUUGCCUUUCAACCGUUUCGCCCCCUUUGCUUCCUCUCCCCAUUGCUUCUACCUGGUGCCAUGGCGGCGCAGCAGAUCACGGAGUCCGAGGUGAGGCUCCUGACACAGGAGCUCCAUGCCAAGGAUGCGAAGCUCAGGGACAAGGACGUGGAGCUCCGUGAGCUCAAGGAGGAGAGGAGUGCCAUGCUCCUCCGUUAUGUGCGGGAGUUCACGGAGCUUCAAAAGCGGCAGGCGUCCACCACAAAGAUGCUCGAGGCAUCGGCGGCGUUGCUGCAAAAAGCGGGAGAUACGAUAGGCCGUCAGGGGAGCCGGCUGGAGCGCGAGCGGGCCGAUCGUGACGAGGUCCAGGAUCGCCUCAGCCACUUGGUGAACCAAGUUGCCACGCAUGUGUUGCGGCUGCGCGAUGCCUACCGUCGUGCCAGCGCGAUGAUGCCGGCCGUCGGGCUAAACCCUCUGCAUGGGCAUGUCGAUGUCUCGGCGCAACAUGACCGUUGGAUCAAACUCAGACGGUGCAGAUCAGUCACUGUAGCACAAAGCGUGUGGGUGUGUUUGGUUGCAUUCUCAUCUCAAUAUAGUUGUUUCCUCUUCGUGUAUGUUUGUCAACCUACUAGUGUGGACUCAUGCACCCUUCAUGCACUCUGCCAAACACCCAAAAGUGGGUCGAGAAGGGAACUUUUGCUCCCAUCCCGUGCACCCUUCAGACACCCUGCCUAACACUAUUCGUGCUUCAUGUGGUUCAUGUUUCGUGGAGUACUGUAGCACCGUACUCUCCGUGCGCUGUGGACCUAGUUCUGUUAACAUUGAUCGCACCGUCCAUUCUCGACCGGACAGUCGAAAAGCGGUACUAUGUUACAUAUAGGAGUAGUUAACAUGCGCACAACAUCAUUUGUUAUCGUCAUAUCUUACUACACUAGCAACAAGAUUAUGUAGUACUGACGUAUGAACCACUGCACAUGCCUAGUAGUAGGAGCACUAUGUAUGUUCAAAUGGCUGCCGUGUUUCGCACUCCUCCGUUGUAAGAGUGGAAACGCUUGCUGUAAUCAUUUUCUUCUUCUGAAAAACAGUGGACAUGCUCUACCGUGUGGAUCCUCCUCCAGCCAUGCACUAAAUUACUCACUUUCGCCGACAUGUGGGACAGCCAGCAUCGGGGUCCACCAGCCAUGCACUAAAUUACUCCGUAGUAGAGUGACAGUAGACUACCCCGAUCGAAGCGCCGCAGUAAUGCCCAAUGAGUCGUCAAAUCACAAAACCCCCUCCUUUCCAGCAGUAAGUUGGACGGACGAAGCAACCAUCAUUUCACUCUUCUCUCUCAGCUUCGUCUCUACCCAACCCUCGCUUCUGCCUCAUCUUUUUCCUCAUUUCUUCAAGAAAACCCCGACCUGCUUCUGCCAUUGUUCUUCUCUCCCAAAGAAGGAAAGGUGAGCGCAUCAAUGGUGUUGAUUCUGGCCAAGGCCCGGUCUUGCAACCUCAAGACUGAUCCUAUAACUCCCUAUCUUUUCUUCUUUUGGGUUUGUGAUUAUGGUUUCUUUUCUUUUAUUUCUAUUUGAAAGUUUCUUGAUGGACGCUGGAGCACCGGACGAAGUGAUGUCUAUGGCUCCGGCCAAAACCGUCGAGGCUCAUGGUACGAAGAAGCGCAAGCACCCCGCCGAGACUACUGCAGACAAGCUCAAAGCCAUCGCCCUGUCCAAGCCCCCCUCUCCGGGAUCCCUCAUUAAGCAAGUCCAGGUAAUACUCUUCUUGACGAUCUUUUUCUCGAUCUUGAUCAUGUUUUUUCAUCUAACACGCAGUACUAGUACUAGUUGUACAACUUUCUGGGUGAUCUUGCAUGUGAUUUUUGUGUGCCAAAUGACGGUUCUAAAUUCCUCUUUUGACCAAAACAUGCGAGAGGUUGACACUGAUUUCUUAUAGAUUACUUUCAACUACUCCCUCUGUCCCAAAUUUCUUGUCUUAGAUUUGUCUAGAUACGGAUGUAUCUAAUACUAAAAUGUGACUUGAUACAUCCGUAUCUAGACAAAUCUAAGAGAAGAAUUUUGGGACGGAGGGAGUACUUUAUGAACAUCAAUGCUACCUUUUAAGAGGGUAUUUGCCUAAGUAACUUGUGUUAUGGAUAUUUCAUGUAAUCCCUCUGCUCUCAUGCCUUUGAAGACAUGUUCUAGUGUAUUUGUUCACUCAUUUCUGUGCGUAUAUGUAGUCAUAUAUGGAGUAUAAUAUCGAAAAUCAUCUUAUAUUUCUGAACGGAGGUAGUAAUAAAAUAUGGUUUCUGUUUGAAUUAGAACCAGGUCCACGGUGGAGAUGAAGUUCUCAAAGUCAUGUCGUGUGAACUGGAAGACCUGAUGAUGAGUUCUACUGCUGAACUAUCCAGCUGCUGUGUCCUUGUCGCCACGUGUCCUGAACUAGUGUUUUCCUGUAGCAUUGUUGUCAGGCGUGUUCUCGAGGCUGUACUUGACCACAACAAUUUCCUGGCUGUGCCUUCGAUUAUGAAGGGUGUGGUUCUUCUAAAGCUUCCCAACAAAUCUGAUGUGGCCUGUCUUCAUCAUCAUGUUUAUGAGUGGAAAGACCACUCUGUUAGGUUCUCCAAGGUUGACAAGAUGGUGAUGGUGCAUGUAGACAUCUCACACGAAGUCCAUGACCUAGUCAGUUAUGUGGGGUUCAUCCCGUAGGUCGGUGGAAAAAAUAGUCUGCAGAGUUUAGUUAGUGCAACUUUGCUUGUCUGUAGUAAGUACUAUUGUUCAGUACUUGAUUUGUGUUUGUGAACCCUGUAUUGUUUAUUAGUACUGCCGCUUUUGGUGUGUGAUCAGUCCUGAGAACGGUCUAUGUUAAUGUCUGUCCACUCAAUUCAGUCUGUAUAUUUUGAAGUAUCCAUAUCAUAUUUUUUGUGAGGACGGUCUGUCGGUGUACUAGAGUAGGGGUACCCUAGUACCCCGAACUUGUGCACGGGCGGUCGCAGCAUCCCGCGGCAAGGCUUGCCGGGUGACCGCCAAGACCCUCCGUGGUUCCCUUGAAGACCAUUCAAGAAUAAAGUACUCAAACCAAGGCCCCGGCAAGAGGAGCUUGCCGGGAAGGCCAACCAAGGCCCCGGCAAGAGGAGCUUGCCGGGAAGGCCAACCCAGGCCCCGGCAAGAGGAUCUUGCCGAGAAGAGACAAGACCCCGGCAAGAGGAGCUUGCCGGGAAGGCUACUCAAGGCAUACCAAGAAAGCUUGCCGCGACGCGCCCUGCGUCCCGGCAAGGCCCGGUGAGCAACAAGCUCCCAAACACGACAAGACGACGACCGCGGCAAGGAGCUUGCCGCGGGAAACCCCCACUUCGUGCCCGCGCUCCAGCACACCUGCUAACGUGUCGCCCUAGGACUCUUCCAAGCACACGUGGCAGGAGGCCGCGCAGCUAGGGGUGCGCGGUGGCGAGUGGAGAUGAAGAGAAGACCAUCGUGGCAAAUGGUGGCGCUCCGAACGGUCACUUUUUGCACUGUUUAGGCAACUCAGACAGGCAUUCAAUGACCUUGUCCCCUGCCGUCAGAGUUAGGUAGGGUGCACUGUGUCCACAGUAGCGGUAGCUGCACCUACCGCAUCCUUUUCCAUUUUUACCCUUCUAGUCUACGUUGCCACCUAUCGGUGACCCCUUAAAAGUAUAAAAGGAGGCCCCAAGCGCAACGUAGAGGGGGUUCGGCUCAUUCGAAACACGAGGAACACUCUCACGCUCAGUCUGGCAGCGUCCAUCGCUCCUGAGCAAGAAUUCAAUACACACAAACAAGCAGCAGUAGGGUUUUACGCAUCCGUGCGGCCCGAAGCUGGGUAAAAACUGCUCGCGUGGAUCAGCUCUUUGCUCGGCCUCUGCCCUCCUCCGAACCGAAAGGGGCCCUGUCCCCAUAGGUGUUGGUGGAUCAGCUUCCCCGACAUCUUUGGUGCGCCAGGUAGGGGGCGUCGAGAUUGUGCGAACCCGAUCCGGCGUGCACGCGAGCUAAAUCCUCAUCGUCUUCAUCGACAUGCCACCGAAGAAGAAGGAUUUGGAGGCAGCUGUUCCGUCUGCGUCACUUCCACCGCCUCCGGAGCAAGCGGGUGGUGAAGUGGACGCCGGCAGAAGAAUGGGCGUCGACGAGGGAGCCAUCAGUGCGGCCAAGUCCAAGGACAAGGCGGCACAGACCUCGGCGUCCAUGCGCGCACCGCGUCCCUCUCAGGAGGCGCGGGACCAACAGCGUCAUGACGUUCGCAGCACCAUACUUCCGCUGGGCCAAGAUCAAGCUGGUGGUUCUCGUGGCGCUCAAGACCAACAUGCACGUCAACAUGCUGGCUCGAGCGAAGUACGGUCACCUAGACAGGGCACUGCUCCUUCUAACGUGGUUAGGAGUCCGAGCACGCCCCACUCCUCGCACCGUUCACCUCGGUCGCCCACCACUCCAGCAGAAGCCUUGGCGCGAGCUCAACUGCUCCUAGACUAUCCUCCAACGGCGGACAAGACCGACGAAUGGAGGGCCACUAUCCAGAGCCUCAUCGGCUUCGCCAACGGCGACACUGCGCGGCAACCAAGCACCUCGCUGCCGCGGCAGGACAGCCGGACGCAAGCCAAUCGCAACAAGACCGGGGGAGGUGCGACUUCCAUGCACUCUCCACUACGAAGGCCAAAAUCGCCGACUCGCCGGGUCCACCCCGACAGCGGCUCCACCGCGUCGUCGGACCCACGAGCUCGUCGCGACCACCGCCAAGUUCUCCAUGGACGACAACAAGAAGACGCUCGAACCCGCAUCGAGCGCCGAAGAGAAGCGCGACGUCAAUCCGACAAGCGCGCUGGGCCCUCUGUUGACAUGCAUGCGCCAGGGUAACUAGGCGAUCUACCGUACGCGAUAGGUUGUCCUGCGUUCACCCGUGAGCUGCGGCAAGUCCAGUGGCCCAGCACAAAUAAUUUCAAACCAGACGUACCAGAGAAGUACGACGGCAAGACGCAUCCGUCGGAGUUUCUCAGCAUCUACACCAUCGCGCUGCAGGCUGCCGGGGGACGGGACGACAAGAUCCUUGCCAACUACUUCCCGCUGGUACUCAAGCCCAACGUCAGGUCCUGGCUCAUGCACUUGCCGGACAAUUCCAUCUCCUCUUGGGCAGAUUUAUGCCAUCAGUUUGUCGGCGCCUUUACAGGCGGCCACACGCCACAUGGCGAAGAGAGCGAUCUUCAUCUGCUCGCCCAGAAGGAAGGAGAGCCACUGCGCAAGUACAUUCAGAGAUUCAGCCGUGUACAGCACAACAUCCCAGACGUCCACCCUGCCGCAAUCAUCAGCGCGUUCCAUCAGAACAUGCAAAACCGAAGGAUGAGGGAGGAGAUGGCGAUGUGUAAGAUCAGAGACGUCAGCGAGCUUUACGCCCUGGCCGACAAGUGUGCACGCGCUGAAGAAGGGAGGAGGCUCCCCGGAGAGAGUACAGGAGCAGGAGGAUCCGACAGUGAGGAUGCCGCCCCGGCAAGGAAAGGCCGGCGGUGGAACAAUAGAAGGAAAAAGGGCAAGGAAGUGCUAGCUGUCGAGCAGACCGGCAACGGAGGUGGCGCCAAGGAAGCUAAAGCUGGUGGCUCCGACAAGGAGGCCCAGCCUGUGGCGGCCGCCGACAAGCAGGACAGCUCCGGCAAGCAGUAUUGUAAGAUUCACCGCACCAAGGGUCACGAUCUCCAGAACUGCAAGAAAGUCGAACAGCUUGUUGAGCAACUCCUGGAACAUAGAACAUCUUCGUAAGUUUUACCCGUAGGGCGCGGUUGCCGGAAGCUUUUCCGGCAACCACCUUUUGUACAAGUCUUGCCGCUGUUGCAUGUAAUCCUUUGUACAAAGCCGGGCGCAGACCCCGUGCACCAGUAAAGUUCAUGUGCCCCGCACAUCUUGUCAGUUUUUUAUGCUAUAAUCCUUUUUCGCAUAUGUUAUCUGACACUUUGUGCAGCACCAGACCCCGGUAAGCGAUAACGAGCCCAAGGCUCCAUAUCAUUACUUUAUUUCUCUGUUUCUUUCUCAAAAGAAGGAAGGUUCCCUCGCCCACAAGGUUUACCGGGGGGGGGGGGAAGGAGAAGAUAAUGGUGUGGACCAGGCCAUUCAAGAAAGUUUCUCCUUGCCGGGAAGCAGACGACAGAAAAGCUAAGUUGCUAAAGCUUGAGCAAUCAGUUUUUUAAGUUUUUGAGUUAUUUUCCUUGAACGACCGUGCUUUGUAUGGAAAACCUGUGCGCGGAGGAACCAACUCAUAGCUAGUUGCGCCUUUACUUUGUUUCGAGUCCGCUCAACAACUUAAGUGAGCUGCCCCUUACUUUGCUUCGAGUCCGCUCAGCAACUUAAGUGAGCCGCUAGCGCCCUUACUUUGUUUCGAGUCCGCUCAACAACUUAAGUGAGCUGCAACUAGUUACGACAAGGUUGCUUGUCGGUAGCGACCUCGCCAGCAGGCUGCCGAAGUUCCGCACUCGGCGCUCGCGGCAAGGGUGCCUGCACCGGCAAGUUUCCCUAGAAAGCGUAGGGCAGAACCAUACAAAGCCAAGAGUCGAGUAAAGGAAGUAACACAACAAUUUUUUGCCUAAGAUAGAGUUAUAUUACAAAAAUAACUUGUCGCGCCUCUAGUAAAGUGUUCCCAUGACAUGACUGGCAGCGACAAGAAAAGAAGAAAACGGACGGCCUAAUCUACGCGACCGCCGUCAACCCUUUUGACCUCGUUCACCCUGUCCACAAUGGGUGCGACGAGGGCCUUAAGUGCGUCAAGAUUAGCGUCCGCCAGCACCUGGGCCCCGGCAAGCCAGUAUCGCUGGGGGCUGCGAGUGCCAAGAAUCGUCCACGGCAAACCAGAGUUGCCGGGGGCUGCAAUAUCAGAUAAGUCUUUCAUCCCUCAUCAUGCAUCCUCUUAUGGACUGGGGAAUGCGAAACCGCGUUUCUUCGCGAAAACUGCCGUGCUCCCUCAACUGUAGGCCCUGAGGCUCGUUCCCGGGGCCAAGUUUGGCCGUAGUCGCGGCAGCAAAGGGAUGAAACGAGGAGACCGCACCCACCUCGUUCCCGCCUCCGUCAAAGGCAUGAGAAAGGUCGAGCGACGUGGGAAGGCGGCAGGGCCUGUUGCCGGGAGAUGAAAUGUCUGUCCGAGGGAUACCAAGGAUUUGCUCCUUGGCGUGGGUUCAACUCGCGAGACAAAUAACCCGGCAAGCAUCCCCUUUUCAUUAAAAAAACAUCCCAGUCAGGAGGCAGGUCAAGGAGGCGAAAAGGGCAAAAGGAGCGCCUAGGCGAGCUACAGGUGCCAGAAGACACCAAGAGAACAUCCCGGGGGUCAUCCGAAGGCUUGACGGCGAUGGCGGCUCUGAAAGCGGGGCUCGAAGACGGGGCGGCAGGACGUCAGCACGCUGUCGAGGGCACCAUGCCCUCGUACUCCGACCUGACGGCCUUGUCGCCAGCCCUCUUCCCCUUCCACAGCCUCCCUCCGCCAGCCGCCUAAGGAGACGACCCCGGGGAGUUCAAGGAGCCGGCGACACGGAUGAUGGGGUCGCCGGUGCCACGCGAAGCGGCAUCCGACGCCUAGUCGGGCCCGCCACCCCUCCGCCCGCUACCCUCAUCGUCGCUGUCGCUCUCCUCCUCGUCACUCUCGCUCGAGGAGGAGCCUUCGCUAUCGGAGGAGCUGUCCACGCAGCACUUCGCCCGAGUGCCGAAGCACCCGAAGACCUUGACGGAGAGGAGAUCGGCCUCCAUCAACUUAAAAUGGAGGGUAAAUCCCUCCAUCAGGCUGUGGAUACAGGCGAACCUCUUCCACCCUCGAUCAAGAUACAUCACAUUAGGGGCUGGGAAUACAACGCGGACUCGCGUGCCGCUGAUCCCACAGCCCCUCAUGUGCAGUCUCAGUGUCUCAGGUGGGUCCAACUCCAUCGCGCUCGCAAACGGAGCUGGAAGCCGGAGGCGACGACGAGGCGCCCGGCGUAGCUUGACGAAGAACUCGCAAGGGUCGUCCCCUAUAUGGACCGCCAUGGGGGGAGGAGCCGCCGGCGGAGGCGAAGCUGGCGCGCCGCCCCGCCCGCCUCUUCCCCGAGCGCCUCGACCUCGUCCUCGACCUCGUCCGCGACCUCGCCCCCUCCCUCUUCCCCUUAUGGCUGGCUCUGCCACCACGGGCGCGGGAGCGGGAGAGAUGCGCUGUCUGGCGGCGACCCUCGUCGCCACCGAUGAAGGGCCUGGGUUCCCUUUCUCCAUGGCGAAUGAGAGAAAGGGGAGCAGAAGCUGAAGAAAGGAGGAGAUGAAAGAGUGCGGGUUUCUGUGCAGCCCUCCCGCUCUUUAUAAAGGAGCGAGGUGGGGGCUCGGCCGCCCCGCUCAGCGAAUCAAGGCACGGGAAGAGCAGGGAGUCGGGGCCAACCCGCUGCCUCUGCUCGCGACGGCCCAGUUUCCCACUUCCACCGUCCGCGACCCCAAGCGCAUGGGAGCCGCGUGGCGGGGAUGCAGAACCAAGGAGACGGAUGAGGCGGCCUCGCUCCGCCUCGUGAUCGCGGGGAGUGGACGUCCCGAAAACCGCGCACCGGCCCCGUCCAGUAAAUGCACCACGCCCCCACGCCUACCCCCGUUUAGGGAGGAGGGCGUGAAUCGUCCCCAUCAUCGUGGCCUGACGCAUGCUCGAGGGGCUUAGCCCCGCGCACGCCACCCGCGUCACCCACGACGCCGCGUUUGACGCGUGCUGUUCUGGGCGUGCGCGGUGGGAGCGGAGAGAUAUGCGGCGUGACCUAGGCCGCGCGUGCCCGUGCACUGUUUUGGGCCUGGCCCAACAACGCUCGGCACCGUGUAUGGCCCAGGCCCGGGGGCUCCUGUCGGUGUACUAGAGUAGGGGUACCCUAGUACCCCGAACUUGUGCACAGGCGGUCGCAGCAUCCCGCGGCAAGGCUUGCUGGGUGACCGCCAAGACCCUCCGUGGUUCCCUUGAAGACCAUUCAAGAAUAAAGUACUCAAACCAAGGCCCCGGCAAGAGGAGCUUGCCGGGAAGGCCAACCAAGGCCCCGGCAGGAGGAGCUUGCCGGGAAGGCCAACCCAGGCCCCGGCAAGAGGAUCUUGCCGGGAAGAGACAAGACCCCGGCAAGAGGAGCUUCCCGGGAAGGCUACUCAAGGCAUACCAAGAAAGCUUGCCGCGACGUGCCCUGCGUCCCGGCAAGGCCCGGUGAGCAACAAGCUCCCAAACACGACAAGACGACGACCGCGGCAAGGAGCUUGCCGCGGGAAACCCCCACUUCGUGCCCGCGCUCCAGCACACCUGCUAACGUGUCGCCCUAGGACUCUUCCAAGCACACGUGGCAGGAGGCCGCGCAGCUAGGGGUGCGCGGUGGCGAGCGGAGAUGAAGAGAAGACCAUCGUGGCAAACGGUGGCGCUCCUAACGGUCACUUUUUGCACUGUUUAGGCAACUCAGACAGGCAUUCAAUGACCUUGUCCCCUGCCGUCAGAGUUAGGUAGGGUGCACUGUGUCCACAGUAGCGGUAGCUGCACCUACCGCAUCCUUUUCCAUUUUUACCCUUCUAGUCUACGUUGCCACCUGCCGGUGACCCCUUGAAAGUAUAAAAGGAGGCCCCAAGCGCAACGUAGAGGGGGUUCGGCUCAUUCGAAACACGAGGAACACUCUCACGCUCAGUCUGGCAGCGUCCAUCGCUCCUGAGCAAGAAUUCAAUACACACAAACAAGCAGCAGUAGGGUUUUACGCAUCCGUGCGGCCCGAAGCUGGGUAAAAACUGCUCGCGUGUAUCGCCUCGAUCCGCUCUUUGCUCGGCUUCCGCCCCCCUUCGAACCGAAAGGGGCCCUGUCCCCAUAGGUGUUGGUGGAUCAGCUUCCCCGACACGGUCUAUCAAUUAUGGUUACACUCUAAUAUUUGUAUGCAUUAUAGGGUUUAUCACACCCACCAGGAUUUCCAGCCCCAUGGAUGUUCGGUCCAUACGAUUUGUCACGACCUUUGGACUGUCCUGCUUGUGGGAGUAGGUGGGGCCCCUGCAUGCCAUGCGUAGUUGAACGAUCAAUCUUCUGUUUAGUACUUCAACAUAGUGAUUUCCUGGUAAGAAUUCACUCGUGUCACAUCAAGUAAAUCUUGUUGAUUUACUGUCUAAAUCUUAUUGAUUUAAUGUCAUGUUUUCUUUCUUUUCCUGCAAUUUUAUGAUGCAAGUUUUGCCAUGUGACAUUCAUCACAGAAUAAACCGUUUGGUUUGCUCUACGAUGGCUAUUUUUGCAGGUUUCACUUCAUAUGUCGUGUCAGUAACGAAGGCACUCUCCAUCACUUAUAUUACUGGAAAAAAUUGGACCAGUCUAUUGUCUGAGUACAAGCUGAAUCCCUAUGAUGAACUGCAGUUUGGUUUAACAAAAAUGCCAUAAUUAGUCCUUCUCGCGUUUAAAAGAAAUGAAGAAAAAGACUGGAUCACGGUCACGGAUCCUAGUCAAGUUAGAAAGCUGAUCAUAGCAGACCAGACACGAUCGCCGUUGUCUCGCACAGAUCGAGCACCGACAGUUGCUCUAGCACUGACAGCGGCAGCAGCUCAGUCUAAUCCUGCUGAGGAUUGGGCACCGACCGCGUCAGCGGAUCAGUCUGAUCUACCGGAGGAUCGGGCAUCGACACCGGCACCUGCUCCGACACCGGCACCAGCUCUACAAGGAGCACCAUCUCCGGCAGCAGUAGGCUUCGGCACCUGCACCAACACUUGCACUUGCAUCUGCUCCGGCCCGUGCAGUUGCACCGGCAACAGACUGGGCUGCAGUUCGCACUUCAUAUACCAAAGUCCUUACAAAAACCGACAUGUCCACCUUCUUGGUAAGCAUUGGCCGCCCAAGUGCUUCGUUCUUUUUUCUUUCCAUGUUGUUUCGCAUGAUUCACUGUGUUGAUCUAACUGUUUGGGUAUGUCUUCUUGUUUGCAAACAGAGAAUUUCUAGAGCAACGAGGGAGUCGUUCAACAAUCCGGGCGACCGCGGCCAAGUUUCUCUUACCAUGCGCAGCCUUGGUGUGAAUGAACCUGCUCAAUAUAUCGGAAGUACAAAGGAUGGUCGCAUGAUGAUUGAUGCUAAAGGAUGGUCAAGGUUCAAAUCUAAAUCAUAUCUUGUGGUAGGGGAUGAUGUCAAAAUCAAACUUUCUCGGCAAGGAGAGCUGGUCCAAAUCAAUUUUGAAAUUCUUCAGUAGCAGCACGCAACUGCCUAACUGAUCUAUCCUCCGAGAGAUUUUGAUGUAAUAAUCUGGCAUGGUGAAACAAGUGUCCUGUGUGUAUAUGUAGUACGAUAGUAUUAUUUAUCACAUGGUAUAUCGUUGAUAGAAUUGCAACUCUGAUUGCUGGUUAGGAACUGUCGUUCGAUUUCAUUCCAACAGCUGCCGUGCUUUAUUCAAUUUUGUGUAUUCGCCUUGCGACAGCAUCUAAAACCAGCGCCGUACCGAUCGCUUGCAAUACGAAAAGCACUGAGGUAGAACACAUGGGCCCCCAAACAUGCAGGGUCGGACUGCGGCCCAAAGUCCAGAACCUGGUUUCGAGAAGCACUAGCUCAGUGCAGAAGUGGCAUCCUCCUCCUGCUGUGGGUUGGGAGAAGAUGAAUGUUGAUGCUGCGUUAUCUCGCAAUGGUGAAAGGGGAGCCUUGGCAGUUGUGAGCCAGGAUCAUACAGGCUUCUUCCUUGGAGCAUCGACACUGGUGUGCGAAAGUGUUACUGAUCCAGAGAUCCUAGAGGCAAUGGCAUGUUGCGAGGGGCUAUCUCUGGCUCUUGACUUAAACCUGCGACAAGUUCAGAUUAGCACUGAUUGUUCAUCAACAGUCAAGCAUAUCAGAGAGGCAUACUUGGGGCCCAGCAAAGUUAUUAUGGAUGAGAUCAAGAUGAAGAAGAAUAUGUUCCAAACCAUGGAGAUCAUACAUGAAAAACACGAGUGUAAUGUUGAAGCGCAUGUGCUGGCAAAAGCUGCUACUUCUUUGCCCUGUGGACGCCAUAUUUGGCUCACAGGAACCCCCGCAAUUAUUUGUAUACCCAUGACUGUUAAUCUUCAAUAAAGCAGCUUUUAUCCCUAAAAAAAUCUGAGUAUUAUAUUCUCAGCUAAACCCCCAUAAUGCCCGUGCGUUGCAGAGGGAGUAUUUUUCUUGGCAAGGUGAGCCUAUGAUAUAAAAGAUUUGUAUAUUUCUUUAUAGAAGGAGUAUCUCCCUGUCAAAAAAUAUAUUUAUGUGUAACUAGUUACUCCUGUCUUUCUACUUCCUUUCGCUGAUAUGUGGGGCAACCGGCAACGGGGUCCACGUGCCAUAUGCACAAAUUAGAGUGCACAACUUCACGGUAGACACACCCCGGUCGUAGCGCCGCAGUAAUGCCCAAUGAGCCGUCAAAUCACAACCCCCUUUCCAGCUUUAGCAGUAAGCUGGACGGACGAAGCGUCAAUAUUUCACUGGGCCUGAAUCCCUUUCUCCCUCGUCUGUUUGUUCAGAGAAAACCCCUUCUCGGUGAUUGCAUAGGGCUUUCUCAUGGAGAACCAGGUACGGAUUCUUCACCCAUCCCCGAUAAACCCAAGUCCCUUGGUCGCAGGUAAUCCUAGGAUGGCAGCCGCCGCCGUUGAUGCAUUUUUCUUCCUACGGAAUCUAGUGUGUUUCAUUUGCAGUGCCCAAAGUGCGAGUACCCUACAGGUUUCUACGCCCUCGGCGAGACGCCACACUUGUUCCUUCUCAUCCUAACACAACAUUUUGAAACACGCACAGUAUGUUCCUAGAAUCCUCUUUUCUAUCCGGGAGGGUGGGGUUUUUUUGAACAUGCUGUGUCCUGCAGUGUAUUAUUUGCUCUGCGAGAACACAUGUACUCAAGAUGCUCGGCCUUGCCAUAACUGAAUACACUAGUUUAAUGGUCACAGUGAAGACAAGCCAUGGAUAUAAGUUCCGAGUUGGGUUCAUGAACCAAGAAGAUUGCUGCUUUUUUUAUGGCCAAACUUGGAUAAACUUUCUCACGUGUUACGGACUGAAAGUUGGCACACGAAUGUUGAUGGAAAUAGCAGAACCUGGUCUCAUCUUCACUGCGAUCUUCCACCCCAACGUCGUUCCAAUUGUUCAUCCAUGUUUGUUUUGUAUCUGGUUCUUGCUUGUUGCCUUGAUUACUUCUUAAUCCACCUAUUUUGUCUAACUAAUCACAAUUUAACUUUAGAAGUAGCAACGAAUCUCUCAUGAAGAUGCUACUUCUAACUAAUAUUUUCUUAUAAUUGGUGGCACAUGUAGGUUUUUUCAGAGUAAAGCAAUCUGCUCGUUUGUUACUCUGUAAUAACUCGACUGUUACUAAUGGCACUGAAGUUGACUGGAUCGACAUCCACAAGUUCCUACACUUUAUUGAUCGUCUUGAGGUCCUUAUGGGGCGUUUCAAUGGUGGAAGGCCACGUGGGAUAUGUGUGCCACUGCUGCACUCGUUGAACAGGUCCAACUGUGUCGAGAAACUUAUGGUACGAGCUGUUUUCUGUUAUAUAUGUUGUUCAUAAACUAUUGCUUAUACACAGUUUUACAGCUGUGAUCUUCUUGAAACAGGAACUGCCGAGUUCUAUUGUUCCUAUACAGAUGCCUGGCCAUGGUCGGGUCAGACUUGCGCUUGGUCACAACAUGAUGUUUAUGUCGACCUACUCAAUUCCCCUUGGAGGUGAAAAGAUACUUAUUCAUGGGUGGUCUCAAAUAAUGAAGGCCCGUCCAUCUUGGAGAAUAGGACAUAAGAUUAUGUUCAUGCUUUUCCAUGGCUCUAAAGCGAAUAUCCUGUUUAUUGACCACGUUGCGAGAUGAAGCCGCUUUCAGAAGGUUGUGGAUGCGCGGGGUGGCGCAUGGGCCUUGUCCUGGGGCUUGGCGGCCUCACCCUUGGUUAACUGUAGGCGAAGUAGCACUGUUCGAGGCGUGCUUUGUACGGUUGAACCUGUAUAAGUACUCAUACUGCUUUCAGCUUUGGUUGUUAAGUGCCCCUGCUGGUUUCAGUUAAGGUUGUUAAGUACUACAAUCUGUCGUGUUUCUUCAGUCCCGUCUUCCUCCAGCCGCCAAAACCAAACCAGCGCCGCCGGGGCCGCCUGCUUCCGCCUCCUAUGGCUGGCUGCGCCUCAGCGCACGCAUCGCCGCCCCACCGUCUCCUAAAUCGUUAACGCCGACGUCCUCCACGCGCUUUGGUACGCUCGCCGCAGUGCCGCCCUCUCGCAUUGUCAACAUGGUCAACAAACAACAAGAAUCGGCAGAAGUACGUGGAGAGGAUGACAGUAGGGGCCCACCCCGUCAGCGUAUGGAAAAAUAAAAUGCUUCCUCCUAGUGUUUUCUUGACAUCUGGGACCCAUGACAUUGGGAGCGUAUAUAGUCAAUAGACAAGAGAACAACACAAGAUCGGCUGACACCUAGGACGUAGCUACUCGAGCGGUAUUUUUUUUGUUUGGUAUUGUUGAGACGGAGCAGGGUUUGAACUGGGCUGUGGCCCGUCUAGCCCAGGCUUAUAUUUUAUAUUCACCAUGUGACCAGCCCAGCUAUUUUUUCUUUGUGAAAAUGAGCCCAGUUUAUUUUUUCUGAAGAAUACCCAAUCCAGGCCUACUUAUUUUUCUACGCCCUGAUGGGCUGCAACUCUUUCAAGACGCCUGCAAAUCUUGAAAGUAAUAUGAAAUGGGUUGUAAAUAUAAAAAUAGAUGACAAAUUGGCAAUUACUUUAUAAUUUCUGAAUUUUAUUACAUUUUUAGAUUCCUAUUUCACUGGGCAUUAACCUAAUUUAAAUAUAUCUUCAAAGUACUUUAAAUUUGGCUGGACAUUUCGGUGUUAAAAAUAGUUUGGAACACACAGAAAUAUGCAAAAUUGGCCCUGGCCAACGAAAAAAAAA
rnacentral:lncRNA from 1 species